rnacentral:lncRNA from 1 species
AGAAAUAAUUAAGUUGAUAUUCUAGAAAGAAAGAAAAAAAUACUUUUUGAUUUUUUAAAGUUUUAUGCCUAUGUGGCUGGGAAAGUAAUACGUACACAAUUAAAUUACAUAAUUUUAUGUGAAUCUCUAUAAUAAGUUUUAAUUGAUAACAUAAUAGACUAGAUGAUACACUUAACUAACAUCUUGUUAAUUGGUUGGACAAUAUAGUACUAAUUAAUAACGUAAAAGAAAUUAUACAAUCGACGUAUAUAAUUUAAAUUUUUUAGAUACAUAUUACGUAAUUUUUCAAAUUUAAAAUUGUUAUAGAGUUUGAAUUUCUUAAGGUGGACAUUUUUAUUGAACAAUAUAGUACUAAUUAAUAACGUAAAAGAAAUUAUACAAUCAACAUAUAUAAUUUAAAUUCUUUAGAUACAUAUUACGUGAUUUUUCAAAUUUAAAAUCGUUAUAGAGUUUGAAUUUCUUAAGGUGGACAUUUUUAUAUGAAAAAUAUUGUGGAAUCCACUAAUAUAUUAUCAAAUAAGAAUUGAUUGAUUUGUUGGAAGAAAAAUAAAAUACAAUCUUUGUAUUUUUGGGACCACCAUGAUUUUUAUAUAAAUGGAGGAAACUAUUCACACUUAAUUUAGCCAUAUUAUUUUUUUGAUAAUUCAUUAAAAUUAGGAAAAUAUGUCUUGUAUUAAUGCAAAAUAUUUUAUGCAUAAUCUUUUUCAAAAAAUAAUUAGACAUUAAACCCAAGCUAGUUGGACAAGUAUUCCCAAUAAUAAACUUAAACGUGUUUAAUUUGGCUAUUUUUAAAAUUGCCCUUAAAAUAUACAAACAUCGCAUGAAGUUUAUUAAGAAAAAAUAAACUUGUUUUACUAACUUAUCAUAUGAUAUGUUUAAGUAAAGAAUGAAAAAAAUUAGAUAACUCACCAGAAAAAUCAGAGUUCCGUCCAGAUGAUGAGUGAGAUCGACUGAAAAACCCGGAACCAGAUCCAGACCUUGACCGGAGAGUUUUCCGACUCCGGUCACUGAGAACUUGCUUGAGGUCCAAUAGUAUUUGAAGCUGUUUAUUGAGAAUAUCGCCUCUUUCAAGAAACUCACUCUCUUUCGUCUUGUAAAACUCAUUCACUUUUUUCAGCUCUUCAUCCAACAUCUCAAAAAAUAGCCUCACCUACACAUGCAAAGUGAAAGUUUUUCAAUAUCGCUCUUUGUAAUUUCAAAAAAUAAUAACAAUCAACGACGAAUAAUUUUUUAUCGCUACCAAUAAAAGUCUAUAGGAUGAUCAUUAGCAAUAGACUAUCAAAAAUGUUAUAUAAGUGUUACCUAGUACCGAUGAUUUUCGUAGCUAAUUUUAAUUAUUUUUUUUUAAAAAAAUAUUAUAUAUAUAUAUAUAUAUAUAUAUAUAUGCAUAUAUUAUUUUUUUUUAAAUAUUAUAUUAUUGUUAUUAUUACCUCAUCUUCUUCAGAAAACAAUUGAACAAGCUCAUUUUCAGUUUCAUAUAUUUCUUCUUGCUCUUCUUGUUCCUCUCCAUUUUCUCCUUCUUUAAUUAUACUCUUCACCUAUAAUAAAAAAAAAUAUAUUAAAACCAAUAUGAAAUAUAUCAACAACUUUACAAAUCCUAACAAAAAUUUCCCAAAUAAUAAUUAAAUUGUCAUUUUCAUUUUGACCCCCUUUUUUUUAUGGUUGUUGUACUUGUUUCAACUAUUCACGAUAAUUUCAUGAUACUAACAUAAAAAAAAUUUUAAAAAAAAACCGUUUCAUUUUAUUGCCUUCCAUGCUAAACCACACACCCCUUGAAAUUAAAUCUUCUUGAUUAUAUCGAAACUAACGAAUCUAUCUGGAGAUAAUAGAAUGUAUGCAUACCUUACCUUUCUGUUUCUGAUAUUAGGACGUAUGCAGACGUUAUCCUUCUGAUUCGGAUAUUAGUAUUAAUAUGAAGAAGAAGAAAAAAAACAACAUUUUCAUGAAGGAGAAGAAAAGGUGGCAAAAAGCAAGAAUAUACAUUUGAUACUAUUGAUACUAGUGGUGUUGCCUAGCCAUAGACUAUAUUAUAUAAAUUAAAAUAUUUUUAUAACUUUUACCUCAAAAUAGCAUCACCUUUCCCUUUCUUUUUACAAACAAUAUGACAAAAACAAACUACAAUAUAAUUACAAAAAAAAAAAAAAGACAUACUUGAGAAACUUCAUGAGAUUUAUGAAACUUCAUGUGAGAUGUCAUAGUGAAUGAACGAAUCGAGUCGAAUAUGGAUCGACCAAAAUCAUGAAUAAGUGAAGAGUUUCCAUCAUGAACAUGAUGAGGUUUUCUUGAUAUUUUGAUUUUCUUAACUUGUUUUUUUAGUUGCCAAUAAUUUACAAAAGCAUCUUUCCAUUCUGGAAUUAGUUGUGCUUCAAGUUCUUUAGAAAACUUCACCAUUUUUUUUUCUUUUGAGGAAAAAAAGGAGAAAAAAAAAGGAGGAAAAGGAGGGGAAAAAAUUAAUUUUUAGAGAUGAGAGACAAUAAGAGGAAGUUUACAAAGAUUAUAUAGAGGGGUACGGAAUGGAGAGUGUUUGAAAAAAGAGACAAAAGUUAGUAGUAUUCCACCAUUCUCCGUCUCGAAAUAUUUGUCACGUUUUAUUUUUCGAGAGUUAAAACAGAAUAAUUUUAAUCAAGAUACAGUUUUUUUAUCAUAUUAAUACAAUAAAAAUUAACUACUAAAAAUAAUGCAAAAAUCGAUAGACGAAUCUGUCCCGUCCCAUAAUAUUUAUCAUACUUCAUUUUUCGAGAGUUAAACCAGAUUAAUCUUGAUCAAGAUAUAACUUUUUAUCAUGUUGAUAUGAUAAGAAUUAACUACUAAAAACAAUGGAAAAGUCCUGUCCUAUAAUAUUUAUGAUAGUUUUAUUUUUUGAGAGUCCAACUAAAUUGAUUUUGACUUAAAAGAUAUAUUUUUUAUGUUAUGUUAAUAUGAGAAAAAACAGCUACUAAAAACAGUGCAAAAAUCGAUUGUUGGAUCUAUACAAAAAAUCGAGAAAAAAUAAAUCAUAUCCAUCGAUUUUAUUUUUUAAAAAAAAAAAACAAAAGAUCGACGGACGGGCUUUGGUGUAAUUCUUUUCACGUAAAAAUAUGUGGAAAUUAUAAUUUUUUUAAAUUAUUCUUUAAAAGAAAACUGACGUAGUCUUUAAAUUUUUUAUUAUAUCUUUAUAAAAAGAUGACGAACAUGAUCGAUUUUUGACGUGUAAAAUUGUAGUUGAAGAGAGUACGAAUAAAAAUGAUGGAAACUUUUUUUAUCAAAAAACAUGUAUGAUUGAGUGAUAGAAUUGUCAAAAAUCAUUUUUAAAAAAUAUCUUAAUUUGAUUUAAAUAGCUAUUACUUUUAAUGUAUAUUUUUGAAAAAUUAACCAUGAUUAUAGAUUUUGGCCCUCAAUUUGACUAAUGUUUUAGCUGUAAAUUGCAAAGUAAUUGUAGUGUUUGUUUUUUUAGAGAAUUUUUAAAUAUUUGAAUUAUAAUUUUAAAAUACUCAAUUUAACUCGAUAAAUUAAUAUAUUAAUUAUUAAAAAGAAAAAUAUAUCAGUAGACAGUAAAUAGUGGUUGCCUUAGCUUGUUUCUUAUUUUAAUUAAUUAAUUUUUAGAAGCAUAUAUAAUGGUUUGGUUACCUUUUGACACCAGAAAAAAGGUGAAAAGGUAAUUAAUUUUCUUAAUAGAUAUUGGUCAAAAAAAAUUUAAAUUUUUUAAAAAUAAUAUUGUUAUAAAGAUAAAUAUGAGUGUGAGUAUAUAUUUAUAAAGACUGAGAAAAUUAGACUCUUUAACUAAUUGUAAUAUUACAUUCAGGAGCGGCUCAAACAUAUUAGUGGUCUAAAGCAAAAAUCAAAUGGGGCCUUAUAUUUGAAUUGUUUAUAACUUUUAUAUAAUUGCUUUCUUCUAGUUUUCAGUUGAUAAUAUAACCAUUCUUAUUUUAAAUUAUUUUUUUAUGAGAUAUAGUACUCCAAAUAUGUCAAUUUUUUCUAAUAAUUCCUUCAUUUUUCAUGAAAAGUUUACUUUUUCUACAAAUAGUAUUCAAUAUUCGUUAAAAAGUAAUAAUUUAUAACCUAUUAUUUUUAAAAAUGGGGCUUCUUAAAUUUAGGGGCCUAAGACACAUAUCUUUUUUUAACACUAUCGAGUCACCCCUGAUUACAUUUACUUUUUAUCAAGUUCAUAAAUUAAGCAUUUUGUUCGAUCAUAAAAUUUGAUACACUAAUUACCAAAAAGUUAUGUUAUAAACAAAAUAUUGACGUUAUCAUACAACUAUCGAUGUUGAAAAUUUAAUAUACAUAAAGAAAAAAUGUUUUCUUUUUAUUUUACUUUUAUCUAUUUUUACUUGUCUAUUAUAUUAAAAAAAUAUUUAAUUUUUUUGUUUGUUCACUUUUUAAAAUUAAAAUAUAUGCACUUAAUUUCUAAUUUAUCUUUGUUACUAACUAUACUUAUUUUCCUAAAUCCUAAUGUAUUUCAACAAAAGAUUAAACUUAAUAUUUUUUUAAAAAAGUAAUCUAUAAUAAAAAUAUUAUUUAUUUGUUAUUCUUUUUGUAAUAUGACAAAAGACAAGUAAAAUGAACGAUGAUAAAAAUUGUGUACUCAAAGGGUUUUAGUUGAAUGUUUUUCUUCUUAAAUGGAUAUAUAAAUAUAAUUGUUGAAUUUUCUUAAUAUAAGAAAACCUUUAGUUUUUAGGUUGAUUUUUGUUUUUGAUUUAUUUAAUAUCUGAUAUUUGUGUUUGAAUUUGAUUAAUUUAAAUUAGCAUAUUAUAAGGUUUAUUUUCGAGAAAAUUCAACAGAGUUUUUUUUUCAUCCACAUAAGCUUGAACUAAAUUUUUUUUUACUCGUUUAUUUAGAAAAAAAAUUAACUAUUUUGACUAGUGUGUCACCUUUUUCCUUAUUUGUUCUUGUACUUGUUUUACUUUACUUAUGUAAAUUAUAGAAAGAGAUUAUGAAAUAUUAUUUUUUUUUUUUAAAAAAAAAGGAAUUUAUGUUUGUUACGUUUUGUUUCAACUUUUUUUGCCUUUUUGUGCAAUAUAGUUGUAUCUAUAAUUAAAAAACAAUUUUUUGAAGAAACAUUAUGUGGAAUAAAGUUGCUAAUAUAAAAAAUGAUUUAUCGGUGGAAGUAAACAAAAAGUUUUCAUAUUUUAUGGAGCUUUAAUUUAAAAGUUUAUAAUCUAUGACCAUAUAUAAACUUGAAAACCUAUAAAAUAAAGUUUUAUUGUUUCAAGUUAGUUAUUUUUUUUCUUUAAUUGGAUUUUGAGUAUUCAAAACAUUUUCAUAAAAAAUAGUCAUGGUAAUUUCUAGAAUGUUAAAUUAUGAACUCUCUCACUUAUUUAGGUGAAUAGAUUUACCCCUACAAGUAAUAUAACUUAGGAAGCUAAAACAAACUUUGAAGACCUGAGAUUUUUCUUUUCUAAAAGACUGAUUAAUAUGAAAAAAGCGAAAAAUAAUAAAGUUGAUUAAUCUAUUAAUGAAUUUUUAGCUAUCGUGUAAAAUAGAAAAUAUCCAUCUAAUAUAAGACAUAUUCUUUCUUUUAGUCUGGGGGCAUUAGUAAAAGAUCUAAGCGGUCUUAGCUCCUUCUUUGGUUUUGCCGCCCUUGCCCUUCUUCUCUUUUCUCUUCUUUUAGAAGAUGUCCGUGAUCGGAACGACUUCUGGAGUAAUUAACAAAAUAAAUUUCUCAUCUUAAUCUUUUUAUCUAAUAAAAUAAAAUCAAUUAAACUUGUGAAUUGUGAUCAAAUGAUUCAGAACUCUCCGCCUUUGAUCAAAAAUCUCGUACUCGACCCUUCUAAAAUUGAAAAAAAAUAAAUAUGUUCAAAGCACCGCUCCUAAAAAAUUACUCUCCAUAACAGCCUGAUACAGCCCAAAAAACAAUUCUACUCUUUAUUUUUAAUGAUUUUUAACAUGUAUUAUUAGUUUGUAUACAAUAUACAUUGAUUAUACAUGUCAAUGUUAAACUCCUUAUAUAAAUUUUAAUAUAUAUAUAUAUAUAUAUAUAUAUAUAUAUAAAAUAAAUACGAGAUUUAAAUUCAAAUUUGAACUUCAUAAUAAUGACAGUAUUUUUUAAAAAAAAGGUUCCGGAGACUAAAAAGUGGUUAUUUAUGAAAUUUAUUUUAAGGUUUCUUAAUCAUUAUUUUUCUUUCUUAAUUUGUAUAUUAAUUGUUGACUAUGGUCCCUCUACCUACAUUUUAUGAAGUUGGUCAAAUACAUUUAAUUUUAUUGAUUAAAUUGUCACUUGUCAUAAUAUAUAACCAUUUUUAGCCAUAUAAUUAAUUGAAAAUUUGUGAUUCUUUCUAUAUACACUGUAUCAUUUAGCUUUAACAAAACUAUCAUGUGACUCUUCUAACAUAUUAUAGUAUUUUAUUAUAUUAUUUAAGUCAAAACCAAACGUGUUGAAAAUUAUAUAUGGAGGAAUUUAAGUCUUAUGAUUGUUUGAAUAAUUAACUUGUCUAUAAUUCCUGAUAAGAUGUUUAAUUUGAUUAUCGUCUUUAUUAUAUUUACGAGGUAAUAAUAAAAUUUAUAUAGAUUUUUCUAUUCAGAUUUUAUUUUUGAAAUUGCAAUUAUUAUUUUAUUGUGAACUUCGGGGUAUUGUAGUAUUUUUGUUAUUUAGGUUUAAUUUUUUUUCUAUGAAUAAUAUAAAUUUAUACUUGCCUGGCAUAAUUUGACCAAUUAAUGAUUUUUUACGUCAUAAUUAUAUAUAGUUGAAGAGGUAAAUUUUUGUGUUAUUUUUUGAAACUAUUUUAAGUAAUUCUUUAUUAUUGAUUGUACUUCGACCAAAUAAAUUUGAAGAGUCUUUGAGGAUAAUUACAUUACAUAUAAGCUAAUAAAAAUUAAAUUGAAGUAGGAAAUUUAGAUUAAUAUCAAGAUGAGAUUAAAAUAUGUAUUUUUAUACAUAAAAUAAUUUAUUUAAAAGAAUCAUAAGUGUUACUCUUUUUGUCCCUAAUUAGCGGUUUGAUUUUUUCCUUUUUUAUUUGUUUUUUUUUAAUUGUCCAUUUUGAUGAAUGGAUAAUUUUUUUUUUUACCUAAUUAGUUAAGUAAUUUUAGAAAAGGUAGAACUUCUUGAAAAAAAUCUUAAAUUAUUUAAUUCGUCUAUUAAAUAAUUAAUAGACAUAAAAUGAUAAACUCAUUAUGUUAAAAAAAAUUUUAAUGAAUAUUUUAAUUUAAAAGUGAACAAAUAACUAGAAACGUAAAAAAAAUAUUAAGCUAGUCUUUGUCUAUCAAUAGAUAAAAUAUUUAACCGAUUAUACGCAAACGUUAUUCUUACAUUUGCAAUAAAGUGUAUGCAAAACCGUACAUAUAUAUAUGAUAAUAAAUAGGCAAAAUACAAUAUUAAAUUAAACAGUAGUUUCCAUGUGUUUAUUGUUUUCUUUAAAUCUAUUUAAUUUUGUUUAUUGGUAACUUUAAAAUAUCUUUAAAAGUUACCUGCCGUGUGAAAUAAAAUUAAAAUAAAUAUAGGAUAAUUACCCACCUAGCUCGUUCUAUGGUUCAAAUUUACGUAGACGCAUUAUAUAUUUAUUUAUUUAUUUAACUUUAAUAGUUUAAUUAAUUGUACACUUUUUAAUUUGAAAUUGCCCAUUAGUGUAUAGUCAAAAUUAAUGAUAACCUUAUCCUUAUUUUGGCUAUGAAAUGAUUUGAGUCUUUUAUUUUUUUGACGUUUCCAGUAAAAAAUUAAGUAAAAUAACUUCAAAUUAUUGUUUCUAUUCCAUAUUUGUUCCUUUUCAUAUUCACUGAUCAAACUUCAUAUUAUCGAGGACAUGAAGGUCAAUCGUGUAUCAAGAUACAAGGUUGAUAAUGAAUAAAGUGUUAUCUUGCGACGGAUCGUGUGUAGUACUGGCCGUACAUUUUUAGUUAUUGCCAUAUGUUGUUUAUUGUAUUUCAACUAUCACAUUAUAUUUGUUGAUAUUACCGUUCUUUCUUGUAAACUUUACAUUACUUAAUUUUCUCAUUAACGGUUAUGCUUCUUCGCUGCUCUCUUUUUACUCGUACUUCUGCUUGAUGUACUUGAGUUGAAGGUCUAUCGAUAACAGUCUCUAUUUUCUCGAGGUAACAGAUGGUUUACAUAUACCCAACUUUCUCUAAAUCUCACUUUGUGGAAUUUUACUGAAUAUAAGCUCUUGAAAUGUUUGUGACCAAUUAUUAUUAAUCCAAAAUAAAAGUUGGAAGAAUGAGUAUAUGAGAAAAUGAGAGAAAUUAGGACCAAUCAUAAAAAAUUUUAAAAAAAGAUUAUUUUUUUUAAUUUUUUAAUUUUUUUAUGAUUGAUAAUACAUUUGGUGGGAAUAUUAAAAGGCAUAUAAUAGAAAUAUUCAUUUCUGGUCAUGUCAGUGUUAUUGAACAGAUCCCACUAAAGAGGCAGAAGGAAAGAAUCAAGGAAUUAUUCUUUUAUAUUAAAGUUUCUGUAAAACAGAAUAUUCCAAUUUAAGAAAUAUAAAUUAAACUUUUUUUGACAUUAUAAUAAUUGGGAAUAUAUAGGAAAGCACUUAUACAUUUUCUUAUUGGGCUUGUGAUCCUAAUUUAAUAAAUUUUCAUCAUACAAUCUUCUACACAUGAUUUCCCAACUUGUAACCUAGUGUCUCUUAUAAAUUUGAAGUUCGAUAUUAGAUUCAUCUGAAUUCAUAUUUUAUAUAUAUAAAAUUGAAUUUAUUUAAAUUUUAUUUUAUUAUUAAUGUCAUUGUAAGUUAACAUAUUUUUGUACAAUCUUUCACACAUUUCUUAAUUUAUAAUGCUCGUUUCUUACAAAUUCAGAGUUAUAAUGCAAUAUUAAAUUUACUGAAUUAAUUUAUACUCAAAGGUGUUUUAUAUGUGAGAUAUCAAACUCAUCUGAAUUUAUAUUUUAACUAAAAAUUGAAAAUUCAUAUGUACAAUGAACUAAAAUUGUAUAUUGUAAAUUGUAACUCAUAAUUUUAAUAUUACGAUAAGUUUGAUAUCAAAAAUCUUAAAAGUUAACCUCUCGAAACUUAAAUUUUAAAAUCCAUCUUCGUUUACUAUGUAUAUUAGUAGUCAAUAAUUCAAUAGUUUUUAUAGAAAUGCAAUUAAAAUAACUAGUUGAUCAAAUUAAAUGUAUCUCUUUGAGAAAUUGAUAUAUAAAUUACUUUUUUUACUCUCUUUUUUCACUCACUGAGUCAUCUGUAUAUAUUUCUUCAGUUAGUUUAUUUUUUCUAUAGACGCUGUCAGAAAUUCAAGUCAGGAUCCAUGACCAUUAUUGGUGUAUAUAUAUACAUAGUGAUUGUCCUCACCGCACUUGUAUAAGCGGGCAGAGAUGGUAGUGACGGUUGUUACAAGUGUUGUGAGGACAAUCACUAUGCAUGUGAAUGUACCUAUGGUGGUCAUUGACCGUGGCUUGAAGUCCUGACUACGUUUGCACAAAAAAUAAACUAAAUGAAGAAUUUUUGGCAUAUAGAGAUGACUCAGUAAGCGAAAAAAAAAAGUGAUUUAUAUAGCAAUUUCUCAAUGCAAUACAUUUAAUUUGGUCAAUUAAUUAUUAAUUACAUUUGUACAAAUAACUAUUGAAUUAUUGACUAAUAAUUUAUAUAAUCAAUACUAUUAACUAGUUAGCUAAAUACUAAAAUUACAUAAAUUUUGACUAGGGAAAUUCUUUCAUUGUCCACUAAAUUUACUUAUCGAAGAGAAUAUUUUCGUUAAUAAAUCAUAAGUCCAUAAUCAAUUAACAAUAUUCAUAGGUAAAUAAAUAACUAAAAACAAAAUUUUUUGAUUUAGCUAAAACAUAUAUAAUUUUUAGAAACAAUGAUUUCUUUUAUAUAUAAAAAUAAGUAAGGUGAAAUAUAUCGCGUAAUUAUUUUGUACAUUCAAGCUCUCUAUUAAACCAAAAUUUUCUUUUCUCCGUUUUUUCAAUUUUUGCUUGGAUUAUUGACAUAUGACAUAAAUUAAAUUUAAUGACUAAUAAUUAAUUUAUUUAAGUAAAUUCUUAAUCAUACUUUUUUAUAUAAUAAAACACAUUAUAUGUUAGUCAAAAUUUCCUCUAAUUAUAGUAUUUUUUUUAAAAAAUCAUGUACAAAAUAAAAUAUACUCCCUUUAGUACAAAAUGAAAUCACUUGAUACGUAAAGGGCCAGAGGCGGAGUCAGAAUUUUCAAUAAAGGGGUUCAAAAUCUGUAGAAACAGAUAAUCGAAGGAGGUUCGACAUUUACUAUAUAUAUACCUACAAACUUAUUUUAACUAUGUAUAAACAAUAUAAUAUUCCGCUGAAGGAAAUUUAAAUAAACCCCCUUCAUACAGAAUAGCUCCGCCCCUGAUAAAGACUAUUCUACUCGUAGCUCGACUUGAUUUGAUUUAAGUAUAUAUUAAUCAAUAGAAUUAAUUAAAUUUGAUUAGGCCCAAAAUUAUUUGACAAAGAUGUCCAACAAUUUUCAUGUCCUAGUAUAUUUGGCAGGUGAAUCAGAAAAAUAAAAUAAAAUCACAACUAGUGGUAAAAUAUUUUAGUGCACUUAGUUAAAUUAAAAUUGAUAACUACUUGACCAGUCACAAAAUCACUAAUAAGUUAGUGGCCACCUAAGAAUUUUAAUCUUUCAGUGCAUGCGAACAAGUGUACAGAUUCCUGGCCAUAAUAUAUAUUUACUCCCUUCGUUUUUUAUCUCAAUUUAUAUGACAUAUUUUAAAUUACUCGAUCUUCAAUUAAGUGUGUCGUUUGAUCUUCUUGUGAUAUAUGAGAAGUAGUGGGGUCACAUAUAGUCGAGGGUACGAUGUUAAUCGACACCAUUUUACUAGAAAACUAUAUUGUGUAACUAGGUAAAAAUAUUAUUCUACAAGAGUAUAAUAUGUUCAUAUCCUUUCGUUUCUAUGUGCUUUAGCAUCUGUAUAUUUUGACAUCUCUCUUGGUAAAAAUUCUGACCCCAUUACUACACAUGAUCAGAGUAUACUAAUUUUAAAAAUUAUAUACAUAAAAGAGUAUCGAAUUUUAUUAAGGAUCACAAAUUCACAUGCCUAAAUUUUUACUUAUAAAUUCACUCAUGCGAUCAGAGCUUUACGUCCAAUCAUUUCGAAUAACGUUUUCAUUCUCUGUAUUAUUACGAUUCAGAAUUAAUCGAUAUUUAAAUUUCUCAUAUAAUGUUAUUAAUUCUUCUCUAAAAAAACUAUUUAAUAAAUUUCUCCGGACUUAAUUCUUCAAAUGUUAAUAAAGUACAAUCUUUAUUAUUAAAAAUUUUUAAAACUCAAAUUCGAGAUCUAUCGAAAAAAAUACAAAGAAUUUUAACCAUGUUAUCGUAACUUUUGGUGAUAGUUACAGUUUGACCGUUAAUAAGAAGUUGUUUGGCACUGUGAAAAUGACAUGUAAAAGGCUGGAUGUAUUAUAUUCUAGUGGGGGAUUUGCUGAUGUUGCAUUGGGGCCAAAGGUAGAAAAUAAAAUAAAUAAUAAUAAUAAGUACUAUCUUAUUGGUUUAAGAAAAAAAAUAAUAUCUUAUUGACUAAUAAUAAUACAAAAUCUAUUUAAAAUGGUGAAAAUUUAUAUUGAAUGGUCCAGCUAGUAAUAUUAUUCGUUUUAAGCUAAGAUUAGCAUGGAGUUACAACAUAUCAAAUGAAAAUCAUUUAUAAUUUUUCUAUCUGAUCUGCAUUUACUCAAUUCUUUAAUUUUCAUGUCCUACCUAUAAAUUUUGGCUAAUUUGUUAUUGUUAAUUUAUUGUUAUGGUAUAAAAUCCAUAUUACUGACCAUAUAUAACUAUAUAGUUUGGUAUUAUAUUUUUUCUACAAAGUUUUUUUUUUUACAAUCAAAUGACAGUAGUAAGAAUAUUAUUACUCCUACAUUAUAUUUAACUUUAUUAUAUGUAAAAUUCAAAGUACUUUCUAGGUCAUUUUGCAUUUGACAUGUAAAGAUGAUUUGGAUUCUCACUAUUAAAUACUAUUUUUUUUAAUCAUGAUAAAAAAAUUAAAGCAGUUUCGUGUUAACUUAGUUGUACUAAUUUUAGUUUAUAAUUAUUAUUUAAUUAAUUAAUCCUAAGAGGUGAUCUGAAUUAGCCAAAUUGUAUAUCACUAGAUGCUGUGUGUAAUCCAUUAUAUGAACUCUGCCACAAAUUAAAGUUGAUUAAUUAGUGGUUAUGAUCAUCUUUUUGCAUCAUCCCCCUAACUAAAUUACAAUUCUAUACUUAGGAAAUUUAUUUAAUUAUACAAAAACCCAUAAUCUUGUGACACCAUUUUCAGGCAGGAUUAACACACUUUUCAUUUACUUUUUUAAAAAAAAUUCAAUUUUCGUACUUAAGAUGUGGUGCAGUAAAUAAAGUUAUUUCUCUCUUAAUUAAAGAUUUCAUAUUCGAGUUCAGCGUAUGAAAAAUUAUCUUUGAUAGAGAGUAGCUCCCUCUGAAUAAAGCUCUGUGUGACGAAAAUUUAAAUUAGUCGAACUCCAAUAUAAUUUUUUUUUUUUUGGGAACACUCAAGGCAACAAAAAUAAUAAUUAUUUUAUAUAUAUAUUAUUAUUAUUUUCUUUUCACUAGGAUGAUUGUCAAUUGCUACCAUAAUAAGUUUAAUUAUUUUAUGCUAAUCCUAAGUCAAAUCCUAAUCUUAAUGAUUUUAUCCAUAUGCAAACCGAUCCAAAUUUGGAUGAUGAGAGAAUAUAUUUUAUUUUUUAAAAAUAAGUAAACAAAAUCAUGAUGAUUAUGAAGAGUACUUAAUUAGACUAAUAAGAUUUAAAUAUUAAAAACUCAAAUCAAUAAAUGGUCAAAGCUCACAAACAGCUCUAUAUUUUAUUGUUACUUAAUCAAUUUUAAGGUACUACUAGUUAUCUUUAAUUUAAGUCAAUGUGAUUUAAUGUUGAGUUGGAAAAGCACAUAUUCAAGGUAGAUUUUGUAUUUUUUUUCCAAUUUUAUGUACUCAUUAUGUAUAAAAUAUUUAUAUAAUCAGAUAAAUUUAUUAAGUACAAUUACAUUCAUAUAUAUAUAUAUCUCGAUAGUAUUUCUCUAUUGGUGAGUCAGUAAAAAUAUUAAUCGGUGAAUAAAUUUAUAUUGGUAAUUCAUAUACCUCCUAUCAGUAGUAUUAACUAUUCAAUUUUAAAGUAAAACAAUUCAUUUUUAACUAGAGAUUUCGAGUUUGAGCUUUUGAGAAUAAAAUUCUUAUUGAGAGUGUCGACCUGAUAAUAAAUCAUGCAAUAAGUAAAUUUUAAUUUACUUGAUUUCAAUACAAAUAUCGAACGAUAAAUUAAAUAAAAUAGAACAAUCCCCUUGUAAAUGUUCCAUUGUUGGCUAAGCAAAGCAAGUUAGGUGCAUUUCCAAUUUCCCCCAAAUGUGUCACAUGACAACUCAUUUCAUUAAUUAUUAAAUUACGUGAGGUAAAGAAUGAGAUUGUUUCUGUUUUAAUUAGAGGUCUUGAAUUCAAAUUCUCAAUGUAGAAAAUAUUUUUGAUAGAAAGCGCUACUCUCAUAUGGGGGUCUUAUUAGGCGUGAAUCUGAAUUAGUCGAACUUUAAUAUGAAUAUCAAACACAGAAAAAAGAACCAAAAAAAGACAACUCAUUUAAAUUUCCCUUUAAUAACUAUAAAUAAAUAUUAAUUUUAAAGUAUUCAACCACCUUUGAAAAAAAAAGGAAACCUUUAAGUCAAAAUUUAUAUAUUUAUUCUUAAUUAAUUUUUUUAUGACGAAAUGUAAGUGUUAUUGUGCUAAAAAAAUAUGUGAAUCAAAAAAGAAAAAAUUGAUGGUGGCUUGAAGCAAAGCAAAGUUGGUACAGAGCACUGUUGGAGAAUUUAAUUAAUUUAAUUAACACGUAAUUAAAUAAUUAAUUACUUUAUCAAAAAAAAUAUAAAAAAAAUAAUUAAUUUAAAACCCUACCAUUGUAUCUAAUUACGUAAUUUUUUUGUCCUUAAUACUAAAACGGUAAUGGUUUUUUGAUGGAGAAAAGCUGUAAAUCUUUCUGAUUUAAGUGGAGACAUCUUUAGCCAUAAUUAAAAAUUUGUUUAAUUAUUUUUUAAUUAAAAAAUUUAAUUAAUCAUGUAUUUAACACAUUAUAAAUAAACCAGCUGGCAAAUAUUAUAAUAUAAUUCAUUUGGCAGCUUUACUUUGCUACUUUGCACUUCACAACAUAAUUUAGCACAUAUAACAUAGAAUCUUUUGGACACAUUUUGCAAGAUUUGAUUAUAUAUAAGUAUUUUAUUUUUAAAGAUCCAACAAUAUUCUUCUAAUUAAGGUUUGAUAAUUAAUUAAAAGAUAAUAAACGUGAUUAAUUUUAAUUAUUCCAUAUUUAAAUAAAUUAUAUUCAUGUUCGAACAUGUAUAAUCCUAGUUUCAUGUCAAAUAAAAGACCAAUUUUCUCUCCCACAACGAAUGUAGGACUUUUAACACUUUUCAUAUGCUCAGAACUAGACAUUUAGAGUGUGAAUAAAAUAAAAUGAACUCAAACAUCGAGAAAUGAAAAUUAGGAUAGUCAAACUCUGAUACUAUAUACGAUAAAAAACCUGGAUCGAACAUAGUGUUGAUGUUCAUAGACCAAAGAAUGUGAUGUCAACACUACUAAAUGUUCAUGAUAAUGAUUUUACGUUAUAUACUUAGCCUUUGUCACUCUCCAAAGGACAAUAUAGUUUAGUUAUAUAUCGACCUUGGCUAAACAAAUUAUAUUAAUAUUUCCUAUGUAUAUAUUUUAAUUUAUUUAUUUUGGGAUCUUGCAUUUUUGAGAUAUAAGAUAUAGUAGUACGUAGUUCGAACACUAAAUAAAUUAUUAAUCUACACUUUUUAAAGUAAAUUAUUAAUUAAUUCAAGUGAUCCAUAAGUAGUGGGCACAAAACCUUAGGGUUAUUGAGCCAUAGAAAGAUGUUUUUAUAAGAAAAACAAAGUAUUGUUAUCUUGGUUUGCACUAAGUUUGAUCAUCACAAUUAUUGGUUGAUCAAAAAUCCAAUUGACAACUACGUUGAUAUUUAGGUAAAGUAUUAAUAUAUAUAUAUAUAUAUAUAUAUAAAUGGUUUGGAUCGAUCGGUUGAGACUACUAGAUUCGAUAUUUUUAGUUGAGGAUAUAAUAGGGGGAAAUACAAUAUGAAGAAUUCAAAGUUCCACCAACAAGAUGAAUAAUCAGGUAGUGAAUCAACUAAUUUAUGAUGAUUUCUCAGAAACAACAAGUAGCUCGAGCUCUUACAAAAUAUGGAUGAAUGUGCAUUGGAUCCUCCAUAAUAAUGUAAUUUGGAAGAGUCCUAAAAAGCAACAUAUAUGAUUUGAAGGGAAAUUAACUUACGGAAUUUCCACUAGUUUAGGAGCUACUUACUACAGUCUACUUUGCAAUAUUACGAAUCAUAUAAGAUUUUAGUGCGUCUAGAUACAUGUAUCCUAAGAUACAUGAGAACAAAUUAGGUGUAAUUUGUUCUAGAUACAGUGUAUCUCAAUGGAUUCGCAUGUACUUGGUAUACAUAGACAAAUCUCACUCACCUCUUUCUCAUCUCGUCCUUCACUCUCCUAUGUAUCUAGCAUCUCAAAUAUAUGUGAAUCACGUCAAAUACAUAUAUCUCAUUCACCUCCUUCUCAUCUCGCAUGCCUCUCUCUAUAGUUUAGUGCAUCGAGUAACAAAAAUAUAUAUAUAUAUUUAAGUGUAUCUUUCUUCAAUAUAUAAUAGAAACCUCUUAAUUAGUGGUUGAAUAUAUAAUUACUUUAAACUACAUAAGUAUAUAUAUGGAUAUAUGUCCAUUAAAAUGUUUUUCCUUGUUAAAAACCUUGAAUCUUUUUAUUGGUUUGUUGAAAUUUCUAAAAAUUUAUUGGUUAGAAAGAGAUAUAUCAUGAGCACUUAUGUAUCUCCUUCUUAUAUUAUUAAUUAUUAUUACAUCCACUAAUAUACUGUUUCAAUCUCUCCCUUAGCUCAGGAUCACCAAACCCUAAUUCCAUUUGCCCCACCCUCCCACCUCUAAAGAUUCUCAAUAAUUCUUCAAUUCUACUUUCCACUUGUCCAAUUUGAUCUUGAAUCAAUGUUAUUCAAUGAACUUCAUACUGUUAAUUUAUUGAGUAUAGAUGCCGCUUCGUGAUUUGAAAUUUAUUGAUUCUAAAUUUGAACUUACGGUACAGGGGUGGAGCCAGAAUUUAAAGUUUAUUUAGGAUUCUGAGUUUAAAUUCAGGAGAAGAGGCGAAAUUAAGGUUUAAUGUUAAUAUAUGGGUUCUAAACUUAACUAAGUUUAGGAGCAAAGACAGAGUUUACGAUUUUAAAUUUAUAUAUUCAAAAUUUUAGCUUUUUAAGUUUAAGUUCUAAAUUAAUGAUUUAUAUGCAUUCAAUAAAUUACUUAUGACAAAUAUAGGAUGUGGAUCAAAGUUAUUGAAUUAGGCGGAAAAUGUAACCAAAAUCCUUGUUUAUGGCUUACUAAAGUUUAUUAUAUAUACAUAUCGAGUAAAUUUUUGGACAAGUGUAUAUAAUUAACAUUCGAUAAAAACUUAUUAAAUUCUGUCAAACUUGUACGCUCCACCUAGAUUGAGGAUGGAGAAAACAUGUCCUCCUCCUCCAUCAUCUUCAUGUAUAGAUAAAGACCUUAAAUUUCCUAUCUUGAUUGUCCACUUUUUCCAACUUUCCAUCUCAAAAGAGACAAUUUGUCUCAAAAUUAGUAAAAUGGUCUAUAAUAUCUUUUUUAAGUGAUCUCAACACUAUCUACUAUAUCAUUAAAUCUUUGUUAAUUACAACAUUAAUACUAUCUCAAAUAUCAAUGAUUAAUGGUGUGUGUGAAUUAUGUCACAUUGACAUGUCCAAGAAACAAAACAAUGAGAGUGAUAAAAAAAAAUAAGCAUGUUUGACCUUCUUACGAAUUGAACGAUUUAAAUAUAACAUACGCUGUAUAUAGGAUUCUCAUGAUGCAUAUAAUAAGUCUUUAUAUAUAUAAGUGAUAUUAUGAUCCACAUUACACAUAGCACAAAUUUAAAAUAGAUAUAUUAUUAAAUGAUCUUUAUUAUUUUAUCGAUACGAAAUUUGCCUAGAUUAUUAUAUUAUUGGGAUAUUGAGUGGGGAACAUUGGUAUUGCAUUUAAUAUGUUUAUAAGGCUAGUAAAGAAAAGUUAAAAAGGCAUUUGAGUAUAUAUGUUUUUAGUGGUUGCUUUAUUGAGACCUUCGAUAGGGACAUUAGACAUUACCACAAAGCCAAAAACAUUGAUGAAAAUUAAAAUAGUGAGAGACCACUUCAAUAAUAUUAUAAUAAGUAUAUAAAAUAUAGUCAAUUAAAUAUAUCCACACAUUGCUUUUUUAGUGGAUGGUUCUAUUUAUUUAGAAAUAUAAUACGUUUCUUAAAAGAUUCAAUGAUUUGAGAACAUAAUUUUACUAUUUUUUGAGUUCUUUUACGACUCUAUAUAUCGAUUAUAAUAUAGUAUAUGUAGAUCUUUUAAGUCAUAUUAUAUAUUUGUAUUAGUAGCAUUUUUUAUUAAUUAGUUUUGGGUAAAUUCAUACUAAAUAUAUAUGGAUUAGCUUGCUUUGUUACUUAGUAAACGAUAAUAUAGUUCUAUAAAUAAUUAAUUAUAACAUCGUUUUGACAUGAAGGGGUAUCAAAAGCACACAUUUUAAUUGAUUAACUGAAAAUUAAACAUAUUGAAUCGUAUAUCACAUAAAUCAAGAUAAAAUUUAUUAAUAAUUUAAAGAUUAAACUAUUAUUAUCCCCGUAUAAUAUUUUAGGACAUAGUAUUAUAUUAUAAUUUAUAUGUCAAGAUUUAAGAAAAAUAUUUUAAAAAGGUCCCACAGUUUGAAUCUUUGACCAAUGAUUUGGAGUAUUUAUGGACUUAAUGAAUCAUAAGCCACAUACUAUCUUAAUAAUGAAUAAUUCUCCAAUUACAGAAAUAGAAACCACUAAAAAAAGUUUUGGUUAUUUAAAAUAAUAAUUAAAAAAGGACACAUAGUGUAAACACUAAUAGUGCUGAAGUCAUAAAAUUAGUUAAAGCAUUUAUAUAGAAAAAAAUAAUAUUGUCUUGUCCCAACUGAUAUAUAGUAAAGUUGCAAGAGGUCAACCGAAUUUAAUUUCAAUAUUUUUCAUUCAAAAUCACAUUAUAACAAAAACAAUAUAUUCAUUACAAAGUAAAAUAUCGCGAGUGAAAUCUAAAAAGGAUAAAGAGCACGUGGAUCUUGAAAGUGCAAGUCACAUUAAUCAUUAUAAUCUCAUGAGUAAAAUCUGAGAGAUCAUCUUCAAUAGACCCUCGACUUCAAAAUCAUAUUAGUAGUUGUAAAAUAUGUGGCGGGCAAAAAAGGUGGAGGUUUAUUUGGAGCAAUCCGUCAAGCUUUUACUGGACUUGAUAGACACCGACUCGUUAUCCUUCCACUACACAGAGCGGGAGCUGUUUACUGCUCUAUGAAGCCAGCCUCGUGCGAUCCGCCCCACUUUAGGAAUCAAGAAGCCCAUACUUACAUUUGGGCCUCAUUAUCCAACACUGUGCUUGGAUAGGGCAGGCCAGAAAUAAGCCCAUCAAGCCCAACCAUUUGGUUAAGCCCAAUAUUCUACCACCUUAAUGCCGGGUUACAAGCCCACGUUACUAAGCUCGACGUGCAACAAAGUGUCAUAGAUUAUUAUAAAUUCAUUAACAUAUGGCGAUGUGGGAAAAAUUAUAAAUUCCAUGAGAGGCAAUAAAGAGAGUUAUAUUUAGUUUAAUGUUGCACCAUUUCUUACUUUAUUUUCAUUUUGUACGAAUUGUACGUUUCAUAUAAUUGCUUAUUUCUUGUAUUUUGCUUUCAUACUUAAAUUUUGUGAUGUUAUACUUGAGUUGAGGGCUUAUUGGAAAGAGGUUUUUUGUCCUCACUAAGUAAAGAUUAGAUUGCGUACACAUUAAUAUUAUCAAACUUCACUUGUGAAAUUACAUUGAGUGUGUCGUUGUUGUAUUUUAUCUUGUACGACAAUGGCAUGAGUUGAGUUUAAUGAAGUGACGAGAAUUCAUAUAGCCGAUCCCAACUUAUUUAAAAUUGAGGGACCAAAUUCCGUUAAUAUUUCCCAUGUUAAAUUCGUGUUUUGAAUCAUUUCUUGCUUCGUUGUAGAAAGAAGAAAACUUAUAUAUUUGUUUUGUGAUUUUGAGACAUAAGAAAACUUAUAUAUUUGUUUUGUGAUUUUGAGGCAUAAGAUCUAAUAAUAUUAACUUCUUUUAAAUGACAAUACUUUUGUUGUGCUUCAUGAUUUACAUCCCAACAACCUAUGUGGUUUGAAUGAGUCAUUUUCUUCGUUCUUAAUCAAAGAUCUCAAAUUUGAAUCACAUGUAUAAAGAAUUCAAAUUAUCAAUCUUUUUACAAGGAUUUCGUACUCAAUAUAUAUAUAUAUAUGUGUGUGUGUGUGCAUAAAAUAACGGAAUAAGUAAGAACUUACAAUAUAAUUUUCGAUUGCACUGAUGAAAAUAUUGUGUGAAAAUCCUGAUUAGGCUGUAUAAAGAAUUCAAAUUAUCAACCUUUUUACAAGGAUUUCGUAUUCAAUAUAUAUAUAUAUAUAUAUGCAUAAAAUAACGGAAUAAUUAAGAACUUACAAUAUAAUUUUCGAUUGCACUGAUGAAAAUAUUGUGUGAAAAUCCUGAUUAGGCUGUAUAAAGAAUUCAAAUUAUCAACCUUUUUACAAAGAUUUCGUACUCAAUAUAUAUGCAUAAAAUAACGGAAUACUUAAGAACUUACAAUAUAAUUUUCGAUUGCACUGAUGAAAAUAUUGUGUGAAAAUCCUAAUUAGGCAAAAAAAGAUUUCGUACUCAAUAUAUAUGCAUAAAAUAACGGAAUACUUAAAAACUUACAAUAUAAUUUUCGAUUGCACUGAUGAAAAUAUUGUGUGAAAAUCCUAAUUAGGCAAAAAAAAGGUGGUUGUUUAUUGGAGCAACCCAUUAGGCGUUACUGAACUUGAUAAGACACCGACCCAUUAUCCUUCCACUGCACAGAGCGGGAGCUGUUCACUGCUCUGUGAAGCCAGCCUCAUGCGGUCCGCCCCGCUUUAGGAAUCAAGAAGCCCAUAUUUUCAUUUGGGCCUCGUGAUCCUACUCUGUGCUUGGACAGGGCAGGCCAGAACUAAGCCCACCAAGCCCAACCUUCUGGUAAAGCCCAAUAUUCAACCACUUUGAUGUCUCCACUUGGAUUACAAGCCCACGUUACUAAGCUCAACAUACAACAUAAUAUUAUACAUUAUUAUAAAGGAGACAAAUUCAUUGUUAUAUGACGAUGUGGGAAAACUUGUUCAUUCUAUGAAAAGAACAAAUAUUGUAUGGUAUAACAAUUCAUAGAUACAUAACCAUUUAUACUUCUUUUUAAAUUCAUCAACGAUAAUUUCUCGCUUUUUUCCAUCGAGGUAAUUAUGCAUUUCUUCAUCUUUAUAAUUUGUAUCAAGUAUUUUUGUUUUUAAUCUUAUGUUUUUUUAGUAUGUUCGCACAUCUAUCUCAACACUCUUCUUUUCACUUUUCUCAUUCUUCGAAUAUAAGCUAAAGAGUUUUUAAUCGUUCAUUACGUUGUCCAAUACAACAUAAUCAAUCCCACUAUUACUCUAUUGAUCUUACUUUCUAAAGUUUCGAUAAGACAUUCUUACCAAAUUUAUUUUAUAAAUAGAAUUUGAUUUUUUUAUGUUAAAUUAUUUUGGGAAACGUACAUAAAUAUGGUAUAUUCAGAAAAUAUUUAUCAUUUAUAGAGAUAAUAUUUUUUUAUUACUUGAUCACUUUUAAUACAUUUAUUAUACUUAUUUAUUGCAUAAAUAAUUUAUCUUUCAUAUGUAUUACAGAUUUAACAUAACAUUCGUAUAAAUGAUGACAAAUAAAAAAUAUUACUAAAAUUAAUAAUUAUUUAUUAAAAGUAAUUUUUUAAAUUAUAAUUAUUUUUAUGGUAGUUUAAAUCCUUUUUACUAUAUCUCAAAACCCAAGGUAUACUCAAAAAUUAGCUGACAACAGUACAAUCUCCUUCAUCGGCGGCACAACCUGUUGCUUAUCUCCGAUCUACUCCGGCGAACGGCGAAAUUCGAGCUGUAAGUUCAAUACAUAUAUACAUAUAAUAAUAAAGUUUUCAUCUUUUUAUGUUUUAACAAACCCUAGUCCUUAAUUCUUUGUUCCAUGAUUUUUAAUGGUAGAACUAUCAAAUUGUGAAAGGUUUUUGUUCUUUUUUGUAAUGCUUUGGUGGGUGGUUAGGUGGUGGGUGGGUUGAAUCAGCUCUGGAAACUGUAUAAUUCAACAAUAACAAUAAUAUACCCAAAAGUGUAGUUCCACGAGCGGGGUCUGGAGAGGGUAGGAUGUAUGGAGACGUAUCAUCUACCUUUGUAGGGUAGAGAUUAUAAGGUCUGUUUCUGAUAGAUGCUCGACUCGAAAGAAGACUGUCUAAUUCAGUAUUUUGAAGUAAAACUGAAAAGCUCAAAUAAAGAGGCAAUGGUUCUGGGUCUUUAAUCCAGAAAUAAGCAGCAUAACAAACUAUUGUACGAAGCGAAGUGCACAAUUUGUAAUGCGAAAUUAUCUUAUGUGUAGGAUUGAGUACCUAUUUUAACAUUUUCACUGAUCAAUUGUAAAAUUGAUAUAUAUCCAUUUGUUGAUUGAUAAUCAAUAAAAAAAGUUAAUUUGUUGUCAUUAGUUUGGUAACUUUGGUUAUAAUGAACUUCAAUAGCUAGGGUCAUCUUUUUAUUUUCCAACAUCUGCCUGUAAAUAGGAACAAAACAGACGAAUACGCAAGAAAAAAGAAAUGUUGACAGGAAGAGUAUAAGAGAGAAGUGACGAGAAGUCAAUAUCGCAAGUAUCAACUUGAACACAGAAAUACAAAGAGUCAUUUGGAUGUUCCUUUUUGCUGUAAUUUGGAUGUAAUUGCAGCAACUUCAUGGUGCUGAUUUUUAACAUCUUUAACAGUUACCAUUAUAAAAAAAGAAGGAAAGAAGCAAAUUAAGAGAAUUCAAGAAACAUGAGUUGAAGAAAAUUGAAUGCAACUUAUAGAAGUGUAAGACAAGGAAAGAACAUUGAAAUGUAGCUUUAAGAGGACUAGUCCUAGUACCAAUAGCAUAAGAAUUGUAUUUGAUGGGAAGAGUAUGGAUUUCAUUUACUUUACAUUCGUUAUUGGCUGCAAAAUUGUGCAAUGUACUACUCUCUUUUGAGGAUAAUAAGUGGUCGCUUUUCUAACAUUUUUAUCAUAGAGAAGAUAAAAAUAAAAUUAGACCAUUAAAUGUGAAUGUGUAAAUUUCAAGUCAUGUAAAUUUCCUUAUACAUCCACUAUUAUGUGAGUAUUUUGUGAAUUGGGUGAGGUUUUAGCUUAUUUAAUGUGACAGGUUUUGAAGUUGUGCAAAUGUUAUUGUGAUUAAUGUUUAUCUUGUUGACCUUAUUAAAUUGAUGUAGUUUCUCUAGAUUUUGGGUUUAAGCGUUUUUUUUUUUGUGCUGAAACAAAGUCAGUGAAUUUCAUCUAAGAUAAAGCUAUGUCUUAAUCAGAUGGAGAAUCUAAACGGCUUAGUUCCUGACAUCCCUAUACAAGAGCAGAAAGACAAUGCUACUGCUUCUGAAAAUUUCGGUCGAAGUGUUGAUGAAAUGGUUGGGAAGGUUGAUCAGGUAACUUGGUGCUGAGGAAAAUUGUAUACUUGGUUGUGGUAUGCUAGUUGGCAUCCAAAUGGAUAGUAAAUCUGUUCAAACAUUCUUUGAGAUUGUCCUUUACUAUUGUACUUUACAUUGUUGUUUUUUCAUAUUAUCAUAUUGUUUGUCUACAUGAUCUUAACACGCUAUUUUUAGCUUAUUUGUAGCGUGUUAUCUCUGAUAAAUUAUUAAUAUAUAUUUAAUAAAAUAACUGUUAUUUCUAUGUUAUUAAAAUUUUGUAUAAUGUUAGCCUGAUCCAUAUAGCCGAACUUGUUGAUGUACAAGUUGUUGUUUUAGAUGAUACACAAUUAACAAUUCAGAAAAAUGAAACGCGAUUCAAAUUGUCCACUUGAUAGAAGUGUUCAUUCUGAUUGACAUUAUGGUUGCCUGUAGUAUGUACAAUUUUUUAUGUGCAAAAGCUGCAUUUCUUAUAGGAGAAAGUGUACGGCAAAGAGAUUAUUCAUUGCAUCUCUCGAGUUCCUUUUUACUUCAAGAAAAUUGAGAAAAAAGAACAUUCAGAACAUUCUUUUGAUAGUAUGCUCCACGCAAGAAGAUACACUUGGGUACUCACCAAGAUUCUUUGGCAAGAGCGUGCAAAAUGAAGAUAUAGGAUUUUUGCUUUAUAGUUUACUUUUUCUUGUUUCUAUUUUUUUUUCUUUCAAUCUUAGGCAGGAAAAGGCUGCUUGUUAAGCUAAAUUCUUUCAUAAGUGAUCACCUCAUAGCUUCACUCUUAAUUCUCUUUGACAAAUUAUUUCUGUUAAAAAGCUUUUGCCCAUAGUUCAUAAAAAAUACAGCAGAUGUUAUUUCUUUUGGCAUUGUUACUCUCAUCAAACUAUUUCUGUUUUACCAGCGCACAAACUGUAUAUUACCCAGAAUUUGCAAUAUAAAAGAUAUUAUCUCUCAGCAUCUAUGCGCUGAUAGCUCAUGUAUUUCUGCUUUCAUGAUUUGCUCUUAAAUAUAAUCUGGUCACAAGUUUGUUACAUCAACAGAUUGAGCAGAGACUGAAUGAGGUUGAGCAUUUCUAUUCCAAUACUAGUAAAAAACAAUCAAACACGCCAAGAGGUGGCUCUAUUCUGAAAGACAAAGAGAAACAGAUGUCUAGCUUUAGAAGGCGGCAGCAGGAUGCAUCACGUAGAGAAGCAGCUGGUUCCAGGAGAAUGCAAGAACUUAUGCGCCAAUUUGGUACUAUAUUACGUCAGGUAAUCUCAUUAUUUUUUCCGUGCCUUGACACCUUUUUGCCUGUCUAAAGCUUGUGUGCUACUAAAUUGUAACUGCUGUGAUCCUUCAAACUUCUAGCAAUAGAUGUAAUUAUUUUGUAACCUGAAGCAGUACUGCAAAGAACGCGAGAAAAGGUUUGAGUAAAUACUAAAUAGUGGUACAUGCUGAAUUUGCAGAACAGAAUUUUUUCUGAUAAACAUUGAAGCUUCUGAUAAGUGUUGAAGAGAUCUAAAUACGGUUAAGCUAGUAUUUUUUUAGUCAUUGUGAUUUCCUGUUACCUGUAAGAGUAUACAAAGUUUCGAAAUGCCUCAUGUCAGUUGCUCACUUUUUGGUACCGAUGAUGUUUUACUCUUUUUACUUUUUAUACGGAGGUACACGUACUUGUCCUGCUGUUGGUUAUACAUUCUCUUCCUGUCUCUCCUUUGCAAGUAAGCUUGCUGAUUUACCCAUUGAAAGAUGUAUUUUGUCUGAUCUUAGCCUUCAUCCUUCUCUGUCUUUGUAACUUUCUUUAGUUUAUUUCUUCUUACUAUAGGAAAUAAUGGUAAAAGAAAGAAGUGUAGGGCAUCUGAGCAAAUUAUGGUGAUGCACCUUGUUUAAGAUCGAAUGUAGAUUUGCUCCAGUUAAUUUAUUUAUACUCAUUACUUAGUGUAUUUGUCAGAUCACUCAGCACAAGUGGGCAGAACCUUUUAUGGAACCUGUGGAUGUCAAGGGUCUUGGAUUACACGAUUAUUUUGAGGUAAAAGCUUUGAAUUUUCUUGUUUGUGUACUUACUGUAUCUGUGAUGUUCUUAGGAAUCAUAUGCUCCUUUUAUUUCUGCUAAUACAUCAUGGGAUUUCUAGGUUAUUGAGAAGCCUAUGGACUUCAGUACUAUCAAAAACAAGAUGGAAGCAAAGGAUGGUUCUGGCUAUAAGCAUGUCCGAGAGAUAUGUGCUGACGUGAGGCUAAUAUUUAAGAAUGCGAUGAAAUACAACGAGGAAAGGGAUGACGUUCAUGUAAUGGCGAAAACCUUGUUGGGAAAAUUCGAGGAGAAAUGGUUGCAGCUUUUGCCCAAAGUUGAUGAAGAGGUAUGACUCAUAUCCAUGUAUUAUCUAUAGUAUUUUUCUUCAGCAUCUCAUAGAAAUUGCUAAGAUAAUUGAACCAUUUUCUUCUAGGCUAUUGAUAUAUGCUAAAUGAGAUUUUUUCAUCAAGAAUAUGCUUGUAUGAGAUUAAGAUAUUAAUCGGGUUUUCAAGUAAAUGAUUGAGAGAUUAAUAUGUAGAACUACUGCUCGUAGGAAAAACGGCGAAAGGAAGAGGAAGCAGAAGCCCAACAGGAUAUGCAGCUCGCUCAAGAGGCUGCUCAUGCAAAAAUGGCAAAAGAUUUAACUAUUGAGGUAGUUAAGGCUCAGAAUCCUUUACACGCAAACAUUAGUCAUAUUGGCCUAACUAUUUAUGGAUCUUCCUCUUCACGCAAUAAAUUUAACACCCUGUAGAUAAUAACUUAUAUUUAUCUUUUGAAUUCCAGCUUGAUGAGGUGGACAUGCAACUGGAAGAACUCAGGGACUUGGUGCUUCAGAAAUGCAGGUUAGAACUUUACAAACUACUCCUCAGUUAAGUUGUGCAUUGAUUAAUUUUAAAGUAGCUGAUUGCUUAUAAAUAUACCUUGUACUCUGGUCCUUCCUUUCAUUGAAUGGGUUACGAGAUAUUCUUUUGAUUGAAUCCAAAAUAUUACCUAAAAUGAUCCAUAAUUCUCUGUUUUGCCUGAAAGAUGACAGAUGUUUCUAUAGUACAACCCUUUUUCUCAUUGAACAUUUGAGUGUUUUAAAGAAAAUCUCCCUAGCAUAUGGUGCUAGUAAUUGGUGAAAACCCCAUGAACAUGAUUUUUUGUUGGCAAAAACUGUCAGACACUAGAAAUAAAUAGAACUAAUGCCUAUAGGUUGGCCCAUUUAUGAAGGAAGGUGGAGAAGAAAUGAAUUUUAGGAGUCUUUUGCCUGGAUAUAGGAGGGGAGCAGUUGUAAUGCCUGUUAAUUGGUUGUAAAUUGUAAUAUAUUAAGAACAGACAAUUCAAAUGGAAAAGGAAAAAUCUAUGCUAUGAUGACCUUUUUCCAAUAGUGAGGAGAUGGAUAAGCAUUGGCUGGGAAAUCAUAGUCAAUAGUGAUUGCUUGCUCAUGACACGGUUUCGACAAUGAAGCUUCUUUUGUUUUGCUUCCUGGCUCUGGUUGGCUUACUUAUGUGGAGGGUAAAAUUAGUAUGUUGGACAAACCCGUCAUUGUACAAGAUCCAGAUGCUAUAAUACUAGACACCGUAGAGAAUUUGCACUUGCUAUAAUACUAGACACAGGAGAGAAUUUGCACCAUCUGUAAUUACACCUGAUGCACUGGCUUAAUGGAAGUUCUUAUAAGACUUGUUAUUACUUGUUAAAAAAACUAUCUAAUAGCAGAAGGAGAAGUCCAUAUAAUCAGCGAAUUUAGAAUGAAAGGUGAAACGCUAACAUAGCAGGCAAACAGGAAAUGCUCCAAGUACAAUUUGGGCCAUUGAUAUGCUUACGUGAUACAUUAGUAUGUCACACUCAUGCUCCUGAUUUAACAAGGAGGCAUGGAAUGUGGCUAGCCUCUAUAACGACUCGCUUAGAUGUGUGUUGCCUAUGCGAGUUUUUAUGUGAUUCGACUUUAGGUUAACUGUAGUAUUUGUCGCUAAGUUUCUAAUAUAUAUUUCAGAAAGAUUUCAACGGAAGACAGGAAACAACUUGGGAAUGCGCUCACUAAGCUGUCUCCUGACGAUCUUAAUAAGGCACUAUUGAUUGUGGCACAGAAUGAUCCUACUUUCCAACCAACAGCAACAGAAGUGGAACUUGAUAUGAAUGCUCAGGUCAUCGAUCGUUUUAUCAUUUCAUAUUUGCAGCAUUUCUAGUUCUUAAUCUACUCUUGCUUUACAUGACACAAAGUAUUGACCUUUAUGCAGAGUGAGUCCACAUUAUGGAAGUUGAAAUUCUUCGUACAGGACGUGCUACAUACACAGGGAAAGAGCCCAGUGAGCGUCAAAACAAACAACAUCAAUACCAGUAAUCUCCUUAACAACAACAACAACAACAAACGUAGAAGAGAAUUUUACGAUGCACUCGCCAAAUCUUCCCAGAAAAAGAGUAAAAAGCCAUCCUGAUUUUACUUCUAAUCACUUCUGGAGGUGUAAAUGUUUUGAGUCGUUGAUGACACAAUAAUCGAUCUAUCUUCAUCGUUGUUAAUACCUCAAAAAGGACAGACAUAGCCAUUGUAGUAAGUAGGUUUUGUAUAGGAAAUUCCUUAUGGAUAUAUCUUUACUUGGCCUGCAAUUGCAGAUAUACAAGUUCUUGAAUGCUUCAUUUCUUUAUAAUAUAAAGUCUCAUCGACUAAAGUAGAAUUAGUGAGAUUCGAAUACACAAACACUUCCUCAUUCCAACGAGGUGAAAACCAUUGGGCUUUAACAGUUUGUUACGUUAAGGGUGUCCUGUUAUUUAAUCAUUUUACGUGUAUGUACGAAGCUGGACACCCUAACCUACACACUAUAAUAAAUAUUCGAAAGAAAUAGAGUUGAAGAAAAUAGUAAAACUAGAAUAUCAUUUUGUUUUGAAGACUCAAAGCACACCAUGAUAUUGAAUAAUAGGGGACAAAGAAGAUAACAAAGGGAAUAAUAUUGAUUAUUUUUUAAAACCAAAGUACAUAUUUUCAAAUUCCUAGUACUAGAACAAGCAAAAAAGCUCCACAAAAUAAUAUGCAAAAAUAGUAAAUAAGAAUUCUAUAAUUAAUAUCUUUUUGGGAUCCAUUUUUUUUUUUUUUGGGGAAAAGACACGAAUAAAUCUUAUAAUUUUUUUUGUCACCGACUUUUAAGAUAGUGAUUGUUUUUUCUUAAUAUGCUAAUUCAACUUUUGAAUAAUUAAAUACCACAAAAAAUAAAAUUGACCAACUGGUGUUCGCCUGUUCGGUAGGAUGGAAAAUAAUUAUUUUUUAAAAAAUAAAUAUUGUCAAGAAAAUAAAUAAGUUAUUUAUUUGUGUUCAUACGUCACCAAAAAAAUAUUGUUAUGGAAGGUGGGGUUAGAGGUAGGAUCGUAGGGAUAAAAAUGAGGUGUGUUGAAUUUUACUAAAAUUAUUAUAAAUAUCAUUUAUAAAACUUAUUUUUCUUACUAUUAGAUAAGUUAUUUUUGUAAUUUUAAAAAUGAUUCAUGUAAAGUGUGAUAAAUAUUUAUUUAUCUCAUUCAUUUUACAUGAUGAUAUUUAAUUUUUUUUAAAAAAGUUAAAAAUAAGACUGACUUGUCACAUAUAAGCCAAAAUUCUGUGAAUUUAAGUAUAUAAUUAUAUGAAAAUAUUAAUGUUAAAAUUUUUCUAAGUUUGGCAAGUUUUUGUCUUCAAUUGCUUUCAAUAAAUAAAAAUAAAAAAUGAAGAAAAAUGAUUUAUGGUCACUAAAAGUUACGUAGGAAUUAAUAUUUUAAAAUUUUGACAUUAAGUCUAUCGAUCUGUUAAAAUACCUCAAUUAAAUAUGUUAUUAAUAUUAUCGAUCUGUUAGAAUACCUAAAUUGAAUAAUAAAUAUUUUAUUAUAUCGCGAUUUUUUUUAAAAAAAUAUCAAAAUAAUUUAUCUAGACUAUGCUAUUGAAGACCAAAAAAUAAUUGGAAUAAUCUAGUUUUUUAAAAACCUUUUGGGUUUUAUUAAUUAUCAGAGUAUGUCUUUUCAACCAAACAAAUUUAAUUUAAUUAUGAUUUUUCGUUUUUUUUAGAAAAAAAUGUUUUGAAAACUUUUAUUAAUAAUCAACGGGUCCUACCUUUUUAUUGUAUGGUCCAAAUUAUUGGAUGUGCAAUAUUAACACAAGUCACUUUCAAAUAUGUGAAGCAUGGCUAACACAUAAUAAUUUCUUUAAAAAAUUACGUGACUGAGCUAUCGUAAAUAGUAAGCAAAUGUUCUUCAUCAUAGUUGAGGCGUUGGUGCUCUUGACGUCCAAAAACUAGAGCAUAUAUGUUAUUCACUCUAGCGCGAGACUAAAUAUAGACACAUGAACCAAUUUGAUUCAUCGAUUCGAUUUUUAAUAAAAGGGUUGGUGGAUAAGAUUAUGACAUGUGUAUAUUCAUUAGUAUAAAUGGUAUAUGUACUCUAGUUUUUGGACAAUAGGGGCAUUAAUAUCACAAAAGUAUGAUAGAGGGUAUCUGUAUAUUAUUUAUGAUAGUUUGGGGGUAUAUUAGUCAUUUUCCCUAAUCAUUUAUAGUGUGUUUGGUUGUGAGUUCGAAGCCAAAAUUGCGACUUUUUAUGAAAAAAGUAUAAAUACGAAUAAUUCUUUUGAAAAACAAUCGAAAAAAUAUUUUUUCGAAACACCGCUAUAUUUGCUAGUAUAUGUUGCUAUCGAUUUUUAUUAAAUAUAUUUUUUGGUGAAGAUUACACACGACUUUAACUCUGUAAUCAAAUUUAUAUAAAACACAUUUCUAAAAUAUAUAUUUUAUUAUUUACCAAACACACAUAAAAUGUGUAUAAUAUGAAUCCUAUCUAUAUACGGCAUCGUAAUAUUUUAAUUUUAUUUUCUUGUUCCAUUAGGUCUUUUUUAUUUUUAUUGAAAUUAAAACGUUUGACUUUAAAUAUAUAUAUAUUAAAUAUUAAAAUAUGUAUCAAAAUUUAUAUAACUAAAUCUAAAAUCUAAAUAAUUAAGAUUAAAAUAUCCAAUAAGUACAAAUAAAUAAAGCUUUAAAUAUUAAAUAUUUCGAUUAAUAUCUUAUUGGUUACUAGUUUUGCUCUUCCGUCUUCAAUUCACAUUAUUGUCUUAAUUUUUUUUAUUUAUAUUGCACUUGAAUAAUUUAUUUUAAUGUUAUUUUACUAUUGUUUCUAUUUUAUUAGCAUUCUGUAAAGUUAUAUUAUUGUUAUGUUACGUCAAAUUAUCGGAGAAGUUAUAUGAUUAUUUUAUAAGCAUUUUCACGUAGGUUAAUUCGAAAAUAAAAAAUCAAUAAAACAAUCGAAUAAAAAUAAAAAUCUCAUAUUAAUUUAGCGUAUUUUAAAAAUUAAAAAUUGAUAAACCGAACCGACCAAUAUCGUCCUAGAAAAACGUGACUUCCUCACUUUUAUUGGUGGCAAUCGCUUUCCUUCGCAAUCUAACAUUUAAAUCUUAUAAUCAACUUUUAAUAUAUAUAUAUAUAUAUAUUCUAACACAAUUAUAAACAUUGUUUUCUUAAAAAUUAACUUUGAUAAUAACAAUUGACGAGGAAUAACUAUAACUAUAAGUUCUGUGUAAAUUUUAAUGAACAAGGUUAUUUGAUAUUUUUAUAGUUAACUUUUUUUUCUGUGUAAAAUUAGUUGAAGUGUAUAAAAAUUAAUCAGAAUAUAUGGUCAUGUGGUCUUCCACCACCUAUGAUCGAUUAAUAUUCUUUCUGUCCACUUUUAAUUUUUAUAUUGCAUUUUUUGAAAAUUAAUUUGAUUAAUUUUUAAAAUUGAAUUAGAUUAGAUUAUUCGAUAGUUUAAAUAAAAAAAAUUAUAUAUUCAAAAAUUAUACGAAAAAAUACUAUAAAUUUCAAAAAAAAUUGCAUAUCUGUAACAUAAUUAUAGUUUGGAAUUUAGGAUAAUUGCCUACCUUGCAUAUGCUCUCAAAAAAAAAAAAAAAAAAAAUUGGCGUUACGUUAGCUCACAAUUUGUAAACGUAGGAAGUUAGAUAGAGUAGGAUGGACCACAAUUAAUUUCCUUUUAAUAAAAAGAAAAAAGUGUCUGAAAAAUAUUUUAAUUUUAAUCGAAAUUGUUGCGAUAUCAAAUUUUCUGGCGAAUAUUUUACCUCUUGCACUAUUUAAUAGUGUACUUUAAAGUUAUAUAUGUGUCUACUGGACACAUUAUUUAUAAUGAUGCAAUGUUUAUAAUGUCCACAUGGACACAUAUACACAUUUAAAAAUGCUCUAUUAAAUAAUAUAAAGAGAUAAAAGGUUCUUUCUCGUAACAACAAUUUUCGUCAAAAGUUUGAAUAUAUUUCAAACCAUUUUCCCUUUAAUUAAUUUAAGUUUGAAUUGAAAUUUGACUUGAUUCUACCUAAAUAAAUAGGCUUAACAUAUUGGUUGUCCUUUAAAUUUAUCAAUAUUUUUUUUAGAUAUUAAACUGUGAUUUGUUCUGAUUAAGCAUUUAAAUAUAUAUAAUAAAGUGUCUUAAUUAUAUAUUUGUAGUCAAAUUUCAGGGGGAAAAAUAUGUACAUGUGUUCGUAGAUUUUCAUUAUAUAACGAGUUAAUUAUUAAAAUAUGUUAUCUCAUUUAACUAUACGAAUUAACUUUAAUAAGCGGUAGAAUCUCCAUCUGAGGAUGAUGCAUACAAUUAAAUAUUUCACCUCCUUUAAUUAUUUAAAUUUUGAGCAUGACAAUAUGACAUAAUUUAUAGGUUACAAUAAUGUCAUAAUAAUUUGAUUUUGGUUUGACUUUUUUAAUAGUUAAAAUUAAAGCAACCUCAAAAAUUUGAGGGUUUUUUUAGAUAUAUUGAAUUAAAUAAUAAUUAAAUUUUGUUUUUUUUUAUUUGACUUGGAUUAUCGAUCUGAUGUAAUUUAUCGAUUUUCUCUAUACUUAAUCAAUGAUAGAAAUAAAAUCUUUCUAUUAUCUAAGCUUCUUAUAUUUUUAUUUAUCAAAUUACAUUGAGUAUAUUAUCAUCGUGAGACUAUCACCAAAAUGUGAAUAUUUAUAAGAGUGCAAUUAUGACUUGGCUCAUCCAAUUUUGAAUUUGUAAUAAGUGUAUUUUGAAUGCAUGGAAACUUGUGGGGUAAUAAUAUAAUAAUUUCUACAAAUAUUUUUGUCAGUUUUCAAUCUCUACGUGCCAAUAUUUUUCUUAGACUCUAACGUUAUUUUCAUGCCUAAAUAAUUAUUCAUAUGUAUUUCUUGUAAAUAGUGAUGUUACGGAUCAAUAACGGAUUCGAUUGAAUUCAGUAUUAAUGUAUAUUAUUAAUUUUUUAAUUUUAACUUUGUCUCUAAAUAUGAUAAGAGAAUAAUUCCGUUCAAAGAAUCAACAUAAUAUUUUUAAUUUUUAAGAUUCAAACUCGAAAUCUGUGAUCAAGAGUAUAAAGAAAUCUUUUCCAUACGACCAAUCUUUGUAAUAUAUUUUAAUUUAUUGUCUUAAUUAUAGGAAAUAUUGAAGCUUUGCUUAUUGAGAGAAAAAAAAAUGGUUUCUUUACUUAUCUUGUUUUGUUUUUGGUCAGAAAUACGACCAAAAUAUAAUAUAUUGCAUACUGACUAAAACUUAAAAUAUAAACAAGAUAAUUAAUAUUACAAGUAAAAAGUUUUUCUCCUUCAAGAAUUGAUUAUUUCUGGAAGAUUAAUACAAGAAUAUAGUCAAACUUUAAUUAAACCAACUAUAUGUUUCAAAAACAACAUAAAGCAAUUGGGACAAAUUAAAGAAACACGUAACGUGACCAACAAUUGGGACCAAAAGGGCCAUACUUAACGUCGAUAUAAUUAUUUCUUUCUUAAUUAGAUAUUUCGAAAUCAAAGUCAUUGCGAGAGAAUGUCCUCCCAAAAUGAGUUAUACGCAAUAUAAAUUUAGUUAUAAUACUGCAAUAUAAACAUUAAAUAUCGAGUGAGAAUCAAAACAACAUAAAAAUUGGACCAAACGGGGUGGAGUUUUUUUUCUUUCAUAUUUAUUCUUUUUUCUCUUUUGAUCAAUAAGUUGUCAUCUUCCUGUCUAGCUUUAUAGUUUUUUUGUUUUUUUUUUUGUUUCUCAUUCAGUCAGUGUGUGUACUCCGACUAAAUUCGCAUUGCGUCCGGCAACAUUCACUGUGCGUAGGGCUCCCAAUAGAAUUUUCUCCAUACUCAAGACUCGAACUCGAGACUUCCGAUUAAGGGUGGUAUCUAGAGCUUUAUAGUUGGUUUGUCGUUUUCCAUGGUACGAAUUGUAGUAUUCUCUCUCUGAUGUAAUAAUGUAUUCGAUGCGCAUUUCUUUAGCUUUUUCUUUAAAAAUAAAAUGUUUCAUUUUUUAAAUUUAAAAUAAUUUAAAUUUGAUUUUAUCAUUUCUUCUUUAAUAAUAUGAUUUAUAUAGUCACCGCCACCUAAUUAAAUUGAGACAAUUGAAUUAUCUAUAUCGCUACUCCCUCCAUUCUAAUAUAUUCAUGUGAUAUAAAACUUUCGAAAUGUGUAAAUACAAAAACUUCUCAUCAAAUGUAUAUUUCGAGUCAAUAAAAUAUUAAUUAUUUUAAAUACGAAAAAUAUGUCACAUACGUAAGUUGAAAUAAAAAUUAUAAAUAUUUAUAUAAAUGGUCAUGACCAACGACGUAGUCACAUAAUUAACUGAUUAAAGGAUAAUCAAUUGAAUAAUCUUUAUCUAAAAAUAAUAUAUUCUCAAAUAUUCUUAAUAAAUCUAGGUUAGCUAUUGGUGAUGACUACUUUUUUACUUUUUAGGUACAAGAAAUUCAUUAAUAAUUAUCAUAACUUUAAACUGUAUCCAAUUAAUACCCAUUUCCCCAUGAACUAAUCAACGGAUAUAUUGAUCAUCAACAAUACAGUACAAUUAAUUAAACAUAGAAUUUCACAUCCUACCAAUCAUCUUACAAAAUAUAGCUAAAAUGUAAACAAUUCUCAUUUAUUACUAAAAAAAAUUUAUAUCUCGAGAGUUAAAUUUGAGACUUUUAAUUAAUGAAAUAGAGUUAUCAAUUUAUUUUUUUAAGAAAACAAUGACCGAUCAAUUUGAGCGCAUCUUAAUUAUUAUAAAACAUAGGUAGCCAAUAUGUUAAUAUAUCUUUGAGUUAUUUUACUCACACAAGUAAUGUCCAGCCCUCUUUUGCUGUUGUUAUUAGUACUUGACUCUAUCGGUUCGACGAUUUGCGAAGACCUACUCUUACUCAGUACACGUAAUUGAAAUAAGAUCGAUUGACUUGAAUUCUACUUCUCUUUAGUAGCUCGAGUUACACAUUCAAGAGAGGAUGAGUAGUGAGUUGAUGUAUGUUUCCAUUCUUUGGGGGCUUUGCGACUAGCCAUCUCGAUUAUUUUCAUAAUUGAAAAGGGGAAAGAAAUCUAAAUCAAUGAAUAUUAACGAACCAUUACUAAUGGACAUCGCAUAUAACACAAUCAGUUCGAUAUAAGCUCUGAUUCUAACAGAAAUUGCUUACUUUCCUACUACCAAAGCAAAGCGCAUCUUUGUUUUUUUUUCAUAUUAACUAGCAUGAAUAUUAAAUAUCUUCCAUCUCUAUAUUCUAAAUUGAGAUAUGAAAAUAAAUCAUUAAUAUCUCAUCUCACAACCACCACCGCCACCACCCCACCCCAGCUCACCUUAACACAUUGAUUGCCUCAACCUAUCGAUUGACUGAGUUGGAGAAGAAAGUAGAAGGUUACGACUCUAUAAGUUUCGUGUAUCCAGACUAAUACUAAUCCAAGUCAUUUCAUGAAUAAAAUGUGACCAAUUAACCAACCAAAAAAAUCACUUGUUACAAAAAAAGACCUUAUUGUUGCAUCGAAAGAGAUAAAUGUUAACUAAUCUAGCUAACAUUAAACUUGAUAAAAUCAAAUAAUUGAAUAAUUGAAAAAUUGAGAUUAUUCAGGAAUACACACACUCUAGUCACUAGCCCUGUCUUCGGCAUUCCCUCCUGGUUGUUAAGAUAAAGACUUCAAACAUGGCCAACCCGAUAGUAUACGCAAGGUCCGGAAACAAAUACACAAUCAUAUAAUUUGAUCGACGAUUACUAGCAAUUCUAACUUCACACAACCCGCAAUCCAUACUAAGGACGGAUUUUUGAGAUUAGCUCGCGAGACACGAUAUCCAAAGCACCCACCCAAGACACACAUUUACACGUCCAUGCAAAUAUGUUUUUUUUUUUUUGCAUGCACAUAUGCGAUGAUCGAUACAUGAAUAUAGUGGUAUAUAUAUACACAUAUAUCCCAAAAUCAUGAAAAUAUCAUGACAAAUUAAUAAAUAUAUCAAAAAAUAAAACAUAAGAAAAAUAAACAAGAUAGUAGUAAUAUAUAUAUGAAAGCUGGCUGUCUAUAGUCAGCACAUAACAUUCAUGAGUCAUCUAAUAACAACAACACAAAAUUCAAAUAAUAAUCAAAAACAACAAUAUAACAAUAAUAAAAAACCGUAUCAUUUUUUUCUGUUCCGUUCCGAUACGUCUCGUCUCAAGCCUCCGCCUUUUUUUUUUUCUUAAUUUUUAAAAUGUCACAUCUGAAUCCACUGUCCCAGCUGCGUCGGAUUGACAAUACCAGGAAUGUGGGUCCCAUCACUCCUCAACAAGCUAGAUAUCUCAACAUAAUUCUGGCUCGGCUUCGGCUCAUCCGGGCUCGACUUUCUCUUCUUCGGGUCGGCUACAGGAGUAGCAGCAGCAUUAGCUCUAGGUCGAGCCGGGUCAAAUUUCUGACCCAAUAAAGUACCUUUAGUUAAAUACUCAUAAGCCAUAUACCCGGCUAAAACUGAAUUAGGCAUUUGAUGAGGAGGAUGACCCUUUUUUUUGGGGUCGGGUUUAGGAAACGACGUCGUAAGGUUAGCAUUACUAACGGACGUUAGUGGAUUUGACGGUCUUGGAGACGAAUAAAACGUGUCUCGGUCUUUUCGCUUCCGUGAUGACUCGUCAAGAGUUAAGAUUCGCCGUGAGUGAUAAUUCAUCCUAGCCGUCCAAUCUUAAUCUACAGCAUGCCACGUCACCGCACUUUUAAAAUAAAAUAAAAAAGCGAUAAAAAAGGAAGAAAAAAAAAGUGAAGUUACGGUUAAGGAAUUAUGGGGUUUGGAAAGAUAAAAACAAAUAAAGCAAAAGGUUAGAAAAGUAAAUUCACUCUAACAGGUACAUUUCUCGUUGAGAAAAUUAAAAAUAUAAAUAUAAAAAGUAGAAUAUAUAAUUUUUUUUUCAAUUAAAAAUACAGUAAAAAAAAGAGAUUAAAAUUGAAAGAGAAAUUACUGGAGAAGAAGAAAAGAAAGAGGGUAGUGAGUUUGACGGUAAGUCGACGAAAGAUCUAGACAAAGAUCGCCGGAUUCCGGCGAGAAACGGUGGAUUCCGGUGUACGGACGGUGGUUUUAGCGGUGGCUCCGCCGUAGAAGAGGAAGAAUUAUUACCGGAGAGAAAUAGAGAGAGAGAAGAGAGAGAGAGUUUGGGGAAUGGAAAGAUUUAUAUAAGAAGAAAAAAGAAUGACAAGGGCAACAAGUGUGUAUAUAUACACCUAAUAACUGAAAUUACCCUUGGUUUGUGAAUUAAUAACUAAAAUGCCAUUGGGUUUAAUGGAUUGAAAUGGAUAAUGAAAUUUGCUUGAAAUGACAUUAAAGUCCUUGCGUUUAUGUCGCUAAAAGGGUGUUUUGGGAAUGGAAAGAUAAUGGGUAUAUUUGGAAUAAUGAUUCUAAUUAAGGGGUAUGGUAUUUUUGUAAUAUAAUUUUGAGUUGAGGGUAAUUUAUAUUAGGUGAAAUAAAAUUUAGAGCCAGCGGUGCUAGCUCCGUGUCUUUAGCAUUGCUCUUUAGAGGUCCCCAUUAUGGUACCUCUUUGUAUUUUUGUAAAGCUAAUGGGGCUAAAAUACAAAUAAAUAAAACUUUGGGGACUAUUGUUGUAUUAUUAAAAGAAAAAAACUACUAUACUUUAUUAGAGGUCCAAGUCAAUUAAUAUACUAUGAGGAAAAUCUUAAUACAUAAAUACUUAUAAAUACAAAAAGUAAUCUGGUUAUCGAAGUGAAGUUUGGAAAGGAUACGAUUAUAUAAUUAUGAAAUAAGUAUUUUAAUUUCUCAAAUCGAAAUUUAUGUGAGAUUCUAAAAUAACAAUUAUUUUUUAUGUAAAUAUUAACCGUAUAUAAUUUAUGUAUAAUUACUUUACAAUAUGGUGUAUUUGGAAGAUAAAUGGAUUAUUGAAUAUGUCUAAGAAAAGGGAGAAAUGGGUGGAAUAAAAAGAUCUAAGAAAUUAUGAAUUUGUUAUUUUAUAAUGAUUGUAAUUAGUGACCAAACGAUUACAAUAAUCUUUUGUCAAAUAAUUGUUGUCUUGGUGUGAUGGAUUUAAUUAGUACGAGGAAAUAAUUUUCUAUAAUUUGAAUAAAUUAUAAAAUAAAAUAAAAAGUUACAAAAAAAUUCUACACUUUAUUUAUGUUCUAUAAAUCUCAUAGGAAAAGAGUCAUAAUUAAAACAACCUUUAUAAUGAAUGCAUCAUGACCUAAUCUCAAAUAGGUAUAAAGUUUAAAUCUCAAUCAAAUAAUUACUUCUUUUAAAAAUUAAUUUUCUAUAUUUAUUUCGUUGUUUAUUUUAAAUUUUCUUUUUGGUAGAGUGGAGUAGAAUAUCGAAAUAGACAAAUUUUUUAUAGGUAAGCACUUCGCUUUCCAGAUGAUUAAACUCGAGGGGGGGGAGUCUCGAGGAUAGACAAUUCUUCAUAGGUAACGUUUUCAAAAUUAUUAAAUCGAUAAAAGAGAAAAUAAUUUUUAAAAUUUUUUUAAUUGUUUAAAUAAAUAAAAGAAUAAAGUACUUAUUCGUUAUGCUAUUUAGGAUUUAAGAGAAUAUGAAGCAAUCCUUUUAUUAGUCAAACAAUUGUCAAUUAAGUUACUUAUUUGGUGUGCUAAAAAAACCUAAACAAAAAAAGGAAUAAAAUAAACAAACCAUCAAUAAAAAAGAACAAUUAAAAAAUUUUAGUAAGAGACUUAGGGUUCCAUAAGAAAAUAAUAAUCUACUAAAGUUAGUGGGGUAAUAUUUCACGUGAUUUUAAAAAAUAAAAAUAAAAAAAGCCAUGUGACCCAAAUUAAAAAACUAUUCCCUUUAAUUAAAAGAUUAAAUUUAAUUAAUAAUUUAGAAAAAAUCUAAUUUAAGUCAGCACUAUUGAAUUCUGUUGAAUCUGUAUCUAUCUUUAAUUCAAUUUAGUCCAUCUGUAUUAGCAAAAAAAAUUCGUCUAAUAAUAAUGUGAUUUAAAUUAUAUCAUUUUAACUUGAAUUGUUUCUUUUCAUACUAUAUUUAUCUCGCUAAAUAUAAUUCUAAAUUUUGUUAAAAGUAAAAUCUUUGUUAUUGAUAAGAAACAUGAACUUUGACAACAUUUUUCAUGUGAUUGAUUUCUAGUUCUUAUUAUAAUUCUUUGAAAGAUAUGGAAUUUUUAUUUAUUUACUUCCCUUUUCUAUUUUUCAUUUCCUUUAAUUUUCCAAGUUUUCAAUUAAAAUUAAAUCAACCCUAAAAAGACAAAAAUAAAUAGGGAUGUCAAUCACAUGAGAUGAGGUCCUAAAAUGUUGGUUUCUUGAAGGUGGGGGCCAUUUGAUUGGAACAUUUUCAUAAUAAACAUUUAUAAAAAUGAGGAUUUUUUACGUAUAAUUUACAUGAUAAAAUUUUAGAUCAAACAUGAUAAUAGGAGGUAAAAUAAUUAAAUGUUAUUAAGAUUGAAUGGAAUACCUAAAUUGUAGACAAGUAGAUAAACGGGAUAUUCUUAUCUUGUUGUGACGGCGUUGAUGAGUUGUCAGCCUCGCUCAGUUUUGUUGUGACGGCGUCAAAGAGUCAAUAAGUAUCUUAUAUAGGAGUUAGAGUAGAGUACCUAAUUGCAAAUGAUAAAACCUAACGGGCCUUCUCAUUGCGGGCUUUAUUAACUAAUUUACAAUAUCAUCUCACUAAACUUAUUAGGCUCGUUAAGUAUAUGACUUAAUCUUCAAUUAUCUUAUUAUAGUUGAAAUAACAUUUUUUAUUUGCUAUACAACUCAAAAUAGUUAAAAAUAUGGAUUUUCUCAACAAAUAUUUGUCAUUUUUAGAUUGGAUAAGAAAACUUUACACGUGUAGUGAUUUGUAGUUGUUGCUAUAACUUCAAUGCAUAGUAAUUGCAUUUAUGUUUCAAUUUGUUUGACUUGAUUAGUAACGUGAGAGUCAAGUUAACUGAUGUUAGAUGUAAAUUUGGAUUAAAAAAUUAUUUUUUUGAAGUAGAAUUUAUAUAUCUAAAAACUACGUAAGAAUUAUUAUAAGUCGCAAUAGUCAAUAAUGCAAAAUAUUUGUAAUGUAUUUGAGAAAAAUAUCCAUUAGUAAUGGGUUUAUUCCAUGUUUGGAUAAAAUUGCGAGAUUACUUACUUCGAAAAUAGUUAUUACGAAAUUGUCGUGUUGUUUUAUCCCAUGUGAAAGAUAGACUAUCUAAUCUCACAAUAAUUAUCUUGAAAUAACUUAUUUCCUAAUCAACUGAAUGUAUAAUCGGUAAAAAAAUCAAUAGAAAUACUUUGUGGGGAUUUGUUUUUUUUUCAUUUAAUGAUUUUCACAAUUUGAUGGCCUCAAUCAACUUAUCUUUUGAAAGUCAUUAUUGAUGUUUAAUAUCCAAACAAAUAUGUUUUUUGGCUUAGUAUCACUCUUUUAUAUUUUUAAAAUUUUAAAGUGUUCCUUGACAUCACACCUCUUUGCUUUUCUUUUUCAAUAUCUUAUCAAAUUUAAGGGCUAAAAACAAGAUUUAUUUAAUUCAAUUUUCACAGUUUAUGAAAGUGACAAGAUUUACUUGGUUAGGAUUUUAACUUGAUAUUUUUACCCUUAGUAUAAUAUUGGAGUUUUAAUUUUCUUUCCAAAAAAUCAAAAUAUUAUCAUAAUUGUUUUAAUUCAAAUAAAUUAUGAUUUUCCAUAUUUAGUUAUUCUUUUCUCAUACCACACCAUAAGAGUAUCCAUAAAAGGAAAAACGUACAUGCACCGAGUGUUUAGACAAUGCCAAUGUAAUUGACCAAAUCAUAAUAAUAUUAUGCUUUAUAAUCAAAUUUGAUUUGAAAUAUCGGACUUGAAAAAAAUAAUAAUAAAAUCGAUUAAUAGUGAAUUUUCUCUUUCAACAUGAUAAUCUAGGUCUCUCAUCUUAUUUUAAAGAUUUUCACGAUACGUUUCAUAGAUUUAUCAAAAUUACAAAAUCAAGAUUUCACCAUAAUUUGUAACUACGAAAUAGUGAGCACAUUUAUAUAGAGUUGAAAUUAUAUAUAUUCCCUUUUUACUUAUAAAUUUAAAAUCUUUAUUCAGUUUUGUUUCCAUUGCACCAAAAAGUAAUACUGAAUGAAAUUAUAAGUAAAUUUGGAUCCACUAAAUUUUGAUGUGCUAAAUCUACCUCUAAAAAGUAUAUCAUACACAAUAUAUUUUGUCAAAUUAAAUAAUUUACAUUAGCAAAAUGUAUUUGCACAUAUUUUAAAAAUUCCUUUUUUUUUUUUUUUGUAUUUGCACAUAUUUAAAAGUUCUAUUUAACUAUAUAAUUUUUGUUCAUUGGUUUUCCCAAAUUGAACAUGUAUGGUUCAUCCUAAACAAAUAUAAGUAAAAAAUUUAAGGUUUAAAAAAUAAAGGAAAAAGAUCCUUUAAAAUAUUUAAUGAGAAAAUUAAUUACUCCAAUAUAACAGCUGACCUUUAAUUAGACUAGGGAUAACUCUAAACAAUAUUCUCUUAAUUAACUAUUAGAAGGUUACACUUUCACAAUCAAAUUAAAGUGAUUUAAUGAUUGUGCAAUUGAUCAAAAAUCAAAUAAUGGUUUUUGAGUUACUUUAGAAAACAAGAUAAGCAAUUACCCCUCGAUUAAAAACAAAUUCAAAAUUUAAAAUUUAUGAGUUUUUGUAAUAAUUUUAAGUUAAUUUAUAAUAAUAACUGAGUUCUAAUUACAUAUUUAUAAAAUACAAAUAAAGUUUUUAAUACAUAUACAGAGUGCAAAUAAAGAUUAUUAGAUUCUCGAAAAGUCACCCCUAUCUCAAUUUCCAUUUUGAACAAAUAUAUAUAAUUUUUUCUUUUUAAAAUAUUUAUGAAUAUGAAAUUCUAGUCCUUUUAUGGUGUUACUAAAUUUUAAAUCAAUAACGUAUAUGUAUUCAAUUAAUUUCUUAAAGACAAAAUAUAAAAUCUGGAAUAAUUGCAUUUGAUCAAAUUCGUAACUUAUAUUCUAGCUCUGAUUCAGUUAUAUCCGAAUAAUAAAAUUAACAUUAUAUUCAAUAACAUGACUCAUAAAAUAACCCUAAGGGGUAGCUCGGCUGGUAAAGGCCUGAGGACAAAGUCCUUCAUGUCGCCAGUUCAAGCCCCAGCAAAGGCAUUACAAAUCGACCGCGUCUCCAGGGCCCCGUGGAACUAACCGCCUUGAAACUACGGGACCCGAUGAAUACAACUAGUCGGAUUCGCAAAACGAUAUCAGAAACCCCGGCAAAAAAAAUAAAAAUAACCUCAUAAAAUAAAUUUUCUUUUGUGUAUAUAUAUAAAAGUUCAAUCCACAUUAUAUACCUAACUUUUCUAUGUAAGAAGUAUCAAAAUUAUCCAAUCAAUUAAUCAUUUACAUGUUCUAUGUCGAACUAUUCUGAUUACAAUUAAUUAAACUUUAGACCAAACUUUCUAAUUAAUUAUAAAAAAAAUUUGGGCUAUAUUACUGUAGCAUGUAGGUACACUACCUACCAAAAAUUAAUUAUAUUCACCUCAUAAUUGAUUCCUCUAAAAAGGGAGAUGUGACAAAUAAAGUGCUUAAAUUUUCAUAUGAAGUUUCCUAAUAUUGUUUGUUAUUCCAUAAAAUAAAAAUAAAAAGAAAGAAAUUAAUUUAUGUGUUAAUUAAGCAGCCAAAAGAUCAUGUGAGAUAUUUCUCAGUAUUUAAAUUUUGUUUGAAAUGAAUGUCAAAUUAGCAUAGAGAACUAAAUUCACGGCCAAGUGAAAGAGUCUAAAAACUCAUAUUAUAGCGUGUUUCAAGAUUUGUAUUAUUUAUCUGUUAUAGCGAUAUGUGAGAUGAGAUUAAAACGUAAAACUUUCAAAGGGUUUAACAUGUCGAAUUUCAUACUUGAUAUACCAGAAUGACUAUUUAUUUUUACACCAAAUGAAUCUAAUCAUAAGUGAAAUAAAAAAACAUGCAUAGCAACGAAAAUAACGUAUCACCUAUUUAUCGUUCUCGCUCAUAAAUCUAACAAAAUAAGUUUUUUCUAUUUAAACAAAAAAAUUUAGGAAAAAUUAGUAAACUAGUCAAAAUAAAUAACAUAUUUAGUAAAAAUAUCGAUACUUUAUAAAUAUUAGCAAUAAUGUCAAAAAUGUCAUUAUUUUAAAAAAUUUAUGUGUCCCAAUUUUUCUCCUAUUUUAUCUCUCUUUUUCAAUUAAUUCUAUAUAUCCUUUUUUUUAAAAAAAUAAAUUAUUCUCUCUCAUAUUUAUCUUUUCAAAUUGUUAAUUCUCUCUCCCAUUUAAUUUUUUUUUCUCUCUCAUGAUUAUUUUUUCUGAUUUUCCUCCUAUUGCAAAUAUUUUUCUGCCAUAUAUUUUGGUUGUUUUUUUAAUCCAAAAUUGGAUUAACAAGAAUCCCUUUGAUUAAGGUAUCUCUAAUUUUUAUCCUAUUUUCAGAUUUUUUUCUAAUUUUAUUUUUGUUUAAAUCUUAAAAAAAUGUUGUUUGUAUUUUUCAAUUUCCGUUAUGAUUUACUCUCCAAUGGCUGAAUCCAAGAGGCUUACUAGAGGUAUUCAUCUUAAUCAACCAAUUUCUGGCAAUUUUUCAUCCUUUAAUUUAUUUAUUACUUAACAAAUAGUGUAUAAUGUAUGAUUAGCUGCUAAAAUGAGGGAAGAAAGAGGAUAAGAACAUUUACAAGACUCAUUGGUGUGCAAAACCUUCCUCAAAUUCAAAACGCAAAUGUAGAAUCUUUGUCUACUCGUGAGGAUCUUGAAAAAGACGACGAAGAUCGGAUAGUUGUCGAACAAUUUUCUAUUAGUUUGUUUUGUAUUUAUAGUUCUUUUUUAGAAUUUGGUAUGCUUUCUCAAUUUGUAUUCAAAUCACUAUGUAUACUAUCAAUAUUUGUAUUUAUUAAAAAUUUCAUGUUGCAUGGGUUAUGAAUCUUGUAUUUGUCCCUAAUUUGUAUUCAUCCAAAUGUAUGUCAACUAGUUAUGUAUUUUAUUUAUAAUAAGAACAACUUUCUAUUAGUUUAUUUGUAUUCGAAUACAAAUACAAAUAAUAGACGUAUUGGAAUGAAUACGACUUAGAAAAGGAAACAAAAUUUUGAAAAGAAAAAUAAAUACACAGUGAAAAAUAUAUACGAAUACAAAUGUAUUUCUUAAAUAGCUACAUUUUAUUUGACAUACAUAUUGGAAUGAAUACAAACUAAUAAAGAAAUACAAGCUUCAUUAUACAAAAUACAACAUGAAAACUAGAAUGGAUACUAAUAAAAACGAUAUACAUAUUGGAAUAAUUACAAUUUAGGCAAGGAUACAAAAUUUUAAAAAAUAAAAUAAAUAACUGUGAGAAAAGUAUGACAAUUACAAAUAAAACUAUAGGUGUUCAAGUUUCUAAGUUAAAGAAUAAAUAAAUUUAAUUAAGAAAACUAUAAUGUAUUAUCAUAAAGUUUCAUAAUAAUAAUUAGUGAGAAUGAGAUAUUAUAUUUUUUUUAUCAUGAUUUUCAUAACAAUAAUUAGUGAAAAAUUGAUAUUGAAAUUUUAUAGAUGUGGUACUUCUUUAAUUCCGUGAUUUUUAUAACAAUAAUUAGUGAAAAUUGAAUAUUUAUUUUGGUUAAUAAAAGUGUUUAGAAACAAAAAAAAAAGAUUACCAGAAUUGAAUAUUGAUUUUUUUUAGAACAAUGGAGAAAAAAAAGAAUUCUUUAUAACAUGAUGAAAAAAAGAAGAAAUAGAUGAAAGUUGGUGUAUUUUAAUAAAUUGUAACUGAUGAAACUUUUAACAUUUGUUCCUUUUUAAAAAUAAUAAUCUCCCCUAAAUUCCUCUCAAUCGAUUAUAUAAAAAUUAUAUUUUUUUAAAAUAAAGAUACAUAACAAACUUAAAUUUUGACAUUUUUACUAAAUAUUGAAAGUGUUGUUAAUGAACCCUCUUAAAUGUUAAACUAUUGACAUUUUAAAAAAUUUCCCAAAAAUUUAUACAUUGGAUUCACAAAAGGCCCAUUAAGAAAUUAAAUUGAGCCCGUUUUACAUCCGGCAGCCAAUUUAGAUUACUAUUUAAGCUAUAGCCAGUUAAAUAAAAUUAUUUAACUUGUAGCCUUUUGACAAUUUUUUUUAAUUUUCAAUUUAAUUUUGAUUAGUUUCGAUUGAAAAGGGACAAAUGAAAUUGGCUUAUCGAAAUUAAUGAGGUAAUCAUGAGUGAAAUAAAAUGAAUGAAUUGUCGAAGUUCAUAUAAGAGUCUGAAGUUUUUGGACAUUCACUUAAAUUUGAAAUAAAAGUAUUUAAAUAUCUAAAAUUUAUUUGCACAAAUAAUAUAUUUUAUUUAAGAUAUUUUUAUCAUUAGUUUUCAGUCCCGUAUAUAUCUGAAGUUAGUUAACUUUAUAUGGAACCAUUUUUUUUAACUAAACAUGUUUUACACUAAUGGUAAUCACUAAAGUAGUAGUAGCUCUUAAUUAGGAAGUACGUAAAUCAUAAGAAAUUAAGAAAUCAAUUUUCAAACGUAUUUCUAUUUUUGAGAAAAGAAGUUUUCAGAAAGUAAAAUAAAUAAAGCAAAUUUCUUUUUCUAUAAUAAGUAAGAACAUUGAAAGGCACAAAUGAAAAUAGGUAGAACUAGAAAUCUGAAUACGAGUUCAAUCGAAUUAAUUUAGUAACUGUUGUUCAAAUAGCAUAUGUGUACUAAAAAAAUCAUUAAAUAUGUAUAAAUGUUAAGUUCUACUCUUACUCAGAUGUCUUGAGUUUGAAUUGUUAAAAGUUAAAAAAAAAAAAUAUUAAGACAAUCGCCCUCAGAAAAGAUCCUGUAAUACACCAAUUCAAAUUUAAUUAAUUGAGCAAAUUCAAAUUAAUUAAAAUCUACCAUAAAUAUCGACUACCAAUCGAAAAAUUCACAAUAAUAUUGAAAGAGACUCUGAAGAUCUUGAAAAUAAGAAGGGAGUUAGGUAUUAAGUACAAUUUUCUACCAAAGAAAUGAAAUUUCUUCAACAAAUAUAUAUGCCUUUUUCACAUUAACAAUGAUGGAUACUUCACACUUGUAAUGGUGACUAUUUUACUUUUAAACAAUAAUAAUUAAAUGCAUUGAUAUUAGGGAAUUGGGAUGUUAAUACUUUUUUAAUGAGAAAAUUAAUUUUAUUUAUAUAUUCAUGAUUGAAAAAUAUUAUUAUUGUUGACUUAUAUUUCGUAUCUAAUAAGUGUAUGAUAAAUACUCACUAAUUAUGUACCUACUUUGCACUAUAGAUCGACUAAAAUUUCUAAUUAAAGUUAAGCUCAGCAUCUCUCAUAAAUCAUUUGAUUGAAAUGUCCUUUUUUAUAUGCAUAAAUUUAUGUAUUAUUUUAUGUUGAAUAGAAUGUUAAAUAAAAAUAUUAAUAUUGCAAGAAUUAGAUUAUUUAAAGAUAAAAAUAUGUUGAAUUAAAGUAAGAAAUUCUUAUAUUACGAUUUCUACAUUAUUAAUUACCAUAUAUAACAAUCUACCUAUACCAUUCUUAUAUUACUACUAAUUACGAUUUCUAAAUAACUUGUUGCGAACAAAACGAUCUCAGAAACGUAAGGCUAAAACCUACAUCCUUGAAUCCCCUCUACCCCUAUCCCACCCUACCCCUACCCCCACUUCAAAUUUUAAAAGAUAAUUAAUAUAUAUAGAGCCAUCAAAAUGGGUUUGAUCCGCGAGGUCGGUCCGAUCCAAUCCUUAAAUUAAGUGGGGUUGGGCCUAAUUUUUUUUGGUCCACUUAGAAACGAGACUUUUUAAUCCAACCUCACUUGACCCGCUAGCCUCGUAGGCCCAACCCGCUAGCCUCAAAGGCCAGCUCGUGGGCUUUGAAUAUUUAAAAAUAUUAUAUAUAUUUAGUAGUGUUUUAUUUGUAAAUGUUUUAUCAAUAAAUAUGUUAAAAACAUAAAUAAUCAAGUCUUUUAAACUAGCUUGUUUUUUUGUGGGAGAAAUGGUUAAAUGAUCAAUAUUUUUCUGUUAAAUCUUACGUUGACUAUUAUGUAUUCUAGUAAGCAUUCACCGAAGUGUGAUAUUCAUAAAUGUAUUUCUACAAGUAUUCGCUGAAGUGUGUGAUUCAUAAAUGAAAAUUUGUAUGUAUUGAUGAUUAUUUAUAAUUGGUAUAUGAUUUUUUUAAUUCAGUUGGUUGCAUAUAAUGAAUAGUUUGACAUAUAGAUAAAAAUAUGAUGAUGAAUCUCUUUGCAAAGGAAGUUGGUAGAAAAAAAAAAGUGAAGCAUUUAGAGAUUAUUUUUUCACUGUGAAUUGUAUUAGCAACUUAGUUACUUUUGCUAGAGUUUUUUAAAUUUUGAUUUAAUAUAAAUAAUUUAGCUAAAUAUAUUAUAUUGUCAAUGCUAAUCAUUUGAUCCUUUAGUAUUCUAUUUUCUUUUUGCUAUGAAAAAAAUUAAUAUAAUUAUUUCAUUUUAACAACAAAAACGAAAUUGAUGAUGAUUAGUUUCAUUUUUAUUAUAAUUAUAAAAAGUAAUUGAAAAAUAAAAUAUUAUUUUCAUGAUGUCAUUUUUUGUGUAUGUAACAAUUUGUCACCAUUCUUUUUGCUUCGAAAUGUAUUUAUAAUUUUUAUGUAGUCACCAAUUAUUAUAUUUUCUCUGUUCAAUUUUUAUAUUUUCACCCCUUAUUUUAAUUUAUUUAUUUUACAAAUAAAAUCAAUACAUAAUUAGUAAUACAUUAUAGUCUAAUAAAAUUAUACAUAUUAACUAUUUAUAACUCAUGUCUCUUCAUCUUACUAGUAACAUUUGAUAUUAAAAAUUAUUCAUAACUUUUAUAUAUUUUAUUUUUCGAAAGUCUUACAAAUAUUAAAUUAAUGUUUAAAAAAUUACAAUAAGUAAAUGCAAUAAUAAAUUUAAAAAAAGAUCAAUUUUGUUUUGAUGAAAUCAGAAUUUGAACAAAACAUUAGUACGGCCUACAAAAGAUAUAGAAAAUUAUAACAUAUAAAAUAUUUUCACCCUAAUACAAUAUAUUGUUAUUUCAACAUAUUAUCUCUUAUUCCAUUUACUUCACUAUGGUAAAUAUUUUGUUAUAAUAUAUAUAUAUAUAUAUAUAUAUAUUAAAAGUCUAUAAAAAGCAUACAAGAAAAAAUAUUAAUAUUAUCUAUACAUUUGAUACUAACCUAAAUAUUACAUAUUUUAUGUUAUUAUCUUAUAAAUAUUUUAUAUAAUCGCGCAAAGCGCGAAUAAUUUCACCAGUUAAUUAAUAUAUCCAAAUUGAGAGUCUUUUUACUAAUAAGAAAAGCUAUUUUUGGACAAUUGUUUCGUGUAAGAUUUCAUAGAGUGAAUGAAUGAAAAAUGACAAGUGCAAUACAAGCAAGAUACCAUUUUGUUUGGAUGAAAAUAAAAAUAAUUAAAGUUAUAUAGUUUUAAAAUUGCUUAGCCAUGAAGAUAGAGUCAACACUAGCCAACUUGACUAAAAUCACAUUCGUCCCAUCAUAAAAAAUAAACAAUAUAUAUCUCGUUUGAUAUUAUACGUGAAAUUUGAGGAUCGAAGAAUAAAAUAUAUGUAAAUUUUAGCUUCGCAGAGUAUAAAGAUUAUUUUGAAAGAUUCAAGAUACGUUACUAAUACAAAAAUUAAUAUAUAGGAUGAAAAUAAAUUAGGAAAAAAAAUUAAUGGCAAACAUUAGUAAAUAUAGCCAAAGUACCCUAUGAUUAAAUUAUUAUUGGAAAAAGUUCCUUCUCAGAAAAUUAAUUAUUUUUUUUAUAAAAGGUGUAGUGAUGAAUUAGAUAAGAGCUACAUUUGAUUAAUUUUUUUUAAAAAAAAGUAAAUACUACCUUUUAUUUUCUCCAUUUUUUUAAAAUUAGUUUUUAUCAACUAUAAAAAUAGAUUGUAUUUAUUAUCAUAUGCCAAACAGUUGUACGCAUGUUCUACACAAAAAAAAAUCUGAAACAAAUAUUUGUUUUCUCACCGCUAAAAUAUUACAUUAUAAUUGCAAAAAUUAUUAAAUAGUCGAAAUUUACCCAAUAAUUGAAAAAUUAUUAAAUAGUUCAGAUUUACCCAAGUUAAUUAAAAAAUCAGUAAGAUAUUGCCUUUCAAGUACGUACUAUUUUUAUAGUUCAUUUUUUUUCUAAAUCAAAUUAGUGGGGUAUUAAUUAUAUGUGGUGUUUAAAGAUAGAUAAUAAUGAGUAAUUUAGACAAUGCACUCGUAAUUGGCAUAAUUAAAUAUUUUUUUAAAGAUGUAAAAAAACUUUUAGAAAUAUAUAACAUGAAUCGAAAUAAGUAUUAUAUUAUCUACUUGCACUAGCUCAUAUAUAUAUUUUAUAUUGGUCAUGGUUAUGAAAUCAAAUUUCUGUUGUUUUUGAGUAACGUAAUGACGUUAUAAUCGAUUGUUAUGAUUAUAAGUUCGAAUCAAGCUCGAAGAAAUCUGGUCGAUUUGAUUUUUUUAAAAUUUUGAAAUAAAGGGAUAUAAUUUGCUUAUUUUUAUUUCCAUUGCACAUAUUCUAUUAUGUGUGAUUAAAAACUCACCAUCAAUGAAUUAAUUUAAAUUUAAUCAAUAUAUAUAUUAAUUUUUUGUAUAUAAAAUACUUUUUAUUAAAAAUAAUUUCAUGAUCAGAAUUCGAACUCGAGAACAAGUUAAUUACCGUAGACGCUAGACAGCAAUGCCAUACAAUUAUUUUAGUCUGAGCUCAUGACUAACGUGAUCUUUUCAUGCCAUGUGAUCAUUUACUGCCACCAAAUAUUAAAUUUAUUCAGUGGGUUCAAUUUUUCAUAUUUUUUUCAAAUAAAUUAAUAUACUUUUCAUCUAUUUAUGUACAUUUUGUACAAAAAAGAAAAAUGAACCUGUUUGAUUAAUAAGGGGAAUUAAGUAGUUGCGAUAUUAAAUUAAUUCGCACCCAAUGGCAAAAUACUAUUCAUAGGGCUUAUUAACUAUUAAUGUUUGAAAAUAGAAGGUUAUAAUUAUAUAGGGUUAAAAUACUUUUUUCUGAUGGCGUCAUCAAUAAAUUUAUAAAAAAUUAAUUUUUAUAUUUAAAUAAAGUUAUAUAAUACUAAUUCGAUUAUUUCAAUUUUUUAGUAUUAAAUAAAUUUGAAGAAGUUAAAUUAAUAAAUAAAUGAAUUAUUCAAUCUCAAUCGAUUCAAUUUUUUUUUAUAGACUGAUCUUUUCACCCAUAUUAAUCUCUAAUAUACAAACUAAAAAAUACAGGUUGUCUUGGAAAUAAAUUAAAAGUGAAGAAAAAUAUAAAAAAAAGUGCAAAGCAUUUUUGCAACUCUCCAAUUGGUACACAAAAAGAAAAAUAAUAAUUGGUGAUUCUCUUUAUUUUAGCACCAGAAAGUCACUGUGUGUUUGCUGGAAAAGGUCAAAAAAAAGAAGAAGCAAAUAAAUAAAUAAAUAAACCAGAAAUAAAUUAAGUUUGGUAAUUUUGAUAUAUAACUAUGUGCAAUUACUUCUUACAUUAUUAAAAAAAGUGCAAACUACAUGAGGAUAUUAUUUGAGAAAAAUUGUCACAAGUAAUAUUUGUCGAUUUUUUUGGAAAAAAUUUAAGUUUCUUAAUAUAAAAAUAUAUUAUCUGCGAGAUAUAUAUUGCCAACAAAAUUAGCUCAUUUUGCGCAAAAUGAGUUCCCACGAUAUUACCUAGGAAAAUAUAUCGCGGGAAUAAUAUCUCUAGGUAAAUCCCUAGCUACGUGGACCUAAAAGAAAAUUUAAAAUUCCUUUUUAAUUUGUAGGAAAAUUAAAGGUUAUUUAAAAAUUAUUUUUAGAGAUUUAAGAAUGAUUAGACCAAUUAUCUUUUAAAUGGUUGAAUUCUUUUUCACUUAUAAAUGUUUGGAUUAUAACCAAUUAAAACUCACUUAAAAUUUUAGAAAUUAGAAAAUAAUUAUAAGACCAAUUAAAAAUUUAUUUUGCUUCACGCUAACCCACUAAACUAGAUGAAAGAAAUUUCACUGCUGUUUUCAUCUCCAAAGUUAAAGACGAAAACAAAUCGAAUUUUUCAUCUCAAAGAUCUUAUCGAUGGAAGAAUUUCAUCUCAAAGGUCCCAUGCGAACCUUAUGUUUCUCUCCAGACGAAUUUUUUCAAUGUAGAGUACUGCAGAUCCAGAAGAUUUGCUUGUCAAUCUACCAACAUAUAUAUGUAUUUGUACAUAUAUACCAAAGCAGUGAUUUGAUAGAUUGACCUCGCUUUUUUGGUAGAUUGACAAGCAAAUCUUCUGGAUCUGUAGUACUCUACUUCGAAAAAAUUCACUUAGAGAAGCAUGAGGUUCGCUUCGGAGCUUUAAGAUGAAACUUCUUCCACCGAUUGGAGUUUUGAGAUGAAAAAUUCGAUUAUUUUCGCCUUAGCUUUGGAGAUGAAAACAGUAGUGAAACUUCUUCCACAACAUUCGAGUUUUGGAGAGAAGCUUCUAGUUUAGUGGGUUAGAGUGAAGCAAAAUGAAUUUUUAAUUGGUCUUGUGAUUAUUUUUCAAUUUCUAAAAUUUGAAGUGAGUUUUUUAUUGGUUAUAAUCAAUUAAAUUAUAAGUAAGUGUAAAAGAAUUCAACCAUUUUAAAGAUAAUCGGUCUAAUUAUUUUUAAAUCCCUCAAAAUGAUUUUUUAAACAACCUGAAAAUUUCCUACAAAUUAAUUAAGCACGUUAUAAACUAAAGUUGAUAUUUUAUAAACUUGUUAGGCCUUAGUUAUAAAAUAUGUAUUAGUAUUCAUAAACUUUCCAUCCAUUUCAUUUUAAUGGUUGCUUUAGUUGAUAAAACUAUUUCGUUUCAUUUUAAACAUCGCUUUAAUUUAAAAAAUUUAUCUCAAAAUAAUUAUUAUUUCAGAAAUUCAAAAUUUAAAUUGACAAUUGUUUCCAACUAUACCCUUAAAAUGAAAGAAGCACUCAAUUCUUUUUAACACUACUUAAUUUAAAAAAUAAAUCUAAUAAAUAAGGAUAAUUUAAUAAAUUAUACUUGUAUACAUUUUACAUUUUAAAUGUUAAAAAGCUAAGACGAUAACUAAUAUAAAAUGAAGUAAGUAAAUAAUAUAUAUUCAAAUUGACUACUAUUUUUUUUCUUAAAUACAUUAAUAAUGUAGCAUAAUAGAAAAAAACUUUUGGGUGUAAUUAAUUAAUUACACAUAAAUAAUUAGGUAUGAAAAGGGAAGUUCAAAACUUUUAUGAAGGCUUUUAAGAACCUUUUGGUUCUUAAUUUUUACCCCUUCUGUCUCAAUUAUCAAUCACAAUUUUUAAAAAUAAUAAUUUUGAAUUAUUUAUCAUUUCAAAAGUUUAAAAAAAAAAUAAUUUUAUUUAUCCUUAAUAUCUUAAUACAUAAUAAAGGAAAAAUUAGCAAAAUUAUUUUUAAAUAAUAAUUUUUUUAAUAAAUAUAUAUAAAAAAUACGAUAAAUAAUUGAAGACAGAUAAAUAAUAGAAAUCAAGAAGCUAUAUAUUAGCAUCUUAGCUGAAAACCAUCAAAAAUUAAAUUUUAAGUUAUAAUUCAAAUUGAUGAAGCUUUAAACAAAAGCCACUACUGCUGUCAAUUUUAGAACCCAAAAUUAAUUUUAUUUCGCCAACAAACUCAAAAUCACAUAAAUUUAUUAAUAUACCCCCAUUAGGCAUACACAAUAUUACUUUAAAAAAAUAGUUGUCAAAUUAAAUAAUUUUAAUGUCUAUAUACUAAUAAUGUACACAACUUUUUUAUACAAUUAAUGUAGUUUUAACUUUUGUGCUAGUAAGUCAAUCACCGUUCACACGAAUGUGAAUGUAGCUGAUUCAUUUGAAUUCACUAUUUUUAGGUGCAAUAUAAAUUUAAUAAAAUUCACUAAAAUUAUAUAAAAGCUCACUUAAUUAAAAUUACAAUAAGGUCAAUGCUAAUGACCAUAAAAUACUAAAUCAAAUUCAGAAUUUACUUAUGCAUUUAUAUUGGAUUACCUAGCUAUUAAUAUUUAUAAAAAAAUGUUGAAUAGUAAUUAUUUUGAGCGAGUAAUUUGAUUGUGUAAGUAAUUUAUUUGACUGACGUUGCGUAUAACUUAAACAAUUUGACUGAGAAAUUCUAACAUUUAAUGCAAAAUGAAAGAAAACACUACUUCAAUUCAAUUAUGGACAGACAAUUUUUUGAAUUCAACAUUGAAUUAGAGUAUGGACCAAGGAAAUAAUAUUUGACCAUGUUGUCUGAAAGCAAAAUGGUUUUGUUUCAAAUUAAGAUGAAAAUUGUUUUCUUAUGAUGAAGAGAUAAAAGUGUCAUUAAAAAACAGGUUCUCAUUAUUAUGUAUGAAUCCCAACUCUGAAUGUGGCAAACGGGUAGUAGUUGAAGCAAAUUAAUGCAAAAAUAUAUAAUCAAUGCAAGAGCAAGAAAUGUCAAGUUUUCUAGCAAGUAUAUAAUGCCCUUUGGAUCUUGAUGCCAUUUGCUCAAAUUAGUUGUUUGAAGAACAGAAAAAUAAAUAAAUAUAGGGUCACAUACAAUUCAAAAUUUUUACUCUUUGAAGAUGAUAAGUGAGGGAGUGAUGAGGGUAGGGGUGUUAGCAUUAUUUUGUUUUUAUGUUCUUGUGGGGAGUGUGGCUUUAGCUAGAAAUGUGAAAGAUUUCGAGGAUGAGAAGUUUUUUACUAUUGGUGAGGGAGGGGGACUUGGUGGUGGUUUUGGUGCAGGUGGAGGUUCUGGCAGUGCAGGUGGUGGAGGGUAUGGUGGAGGCGGAGGAGGUGGUUAUGGUGGCGGUGGUAUAGGUGGUGGGUUUGGAAAAGGUGGUGGAAUUGGGGGUGGUGCAGGAGGCGGGGGUGGAAUAGGUGGAGGAAUUGGGGGUGGUGCGGGAGGCGGAGGAGGAAUAGGUGGAGGCAUUGGCAAAGGUGGUGGCAUUGGAGGAGGAGUUGGUGGCGGUGCAGGAGGUGGGGGCGGAAUAGGUGGUGGCAUUGGAGGUGGAGCUGGUGGUGGGGGAGGAAUAGGUGGAGGCAUUGGUAAAGGUGGUGGAAUUGGAGGUGGAGCUGGUGGUGGGGGAGGAAUAGGUGGAGGCGUUGGUAAAGGUGGUGGUAUUGGAGGAGGAGCUGGUGGUGGUGCAGGAGGCGGGGGAGGAAUAGGUGGAGGCGUUGGAGGUGGAGCUGGUGGUGGGGGAGGAAUCGGUAAAGGUGGUGGCAUCGGUGGAGGAGCUGGUGGUGGGGGAGGAAUCGGUAAAGGUGGUGGCAUCGGUGGAGGAGCUGGUGGUGGUGCAGGAGGUGGGGGUGGAAUAGGUGGAGGCAUUGGUAAAGGUGGUGGUAUCGGAGGAGGAGCUGGUGGUGGUGCAGGAGGCGGGGGUGGAAUAGGUGGAGGCGUUGGAGGUGGAGCUGGUGGCGGCGGAGGAAUCGGUAAAGGUGGUGGCAUCGGAGGAGGAGCUGGUGGCGGUGCAGGAGGUGGGGGAGGAAUAGGUGGAGGUGUUGGUAAAGGUGGUGGCAUUGGAGGUGGAACGGGUGGUGGUGCAGGAGGUGGUAUUGGUGGGGGAGCUGGAGGUGGAAAAGGAGGAGGAAUUGGUGGUGGUGCUGGUGGAGGAGCCGGUGGUGGUAUAGGAGGAGGCAUCGGUGGAGGAGUUGGAGGUGGUGCAGGAGGAGGUAUUGGAAAAGGUGGUGGCAUAGGUGGAGGAGCCGGAGGUGGUGCUGGAGGCGGCUUUGGUAAAGGUGGUGGCAUAGGAGGUGGUAUUGGCAAAGGUGGCGGCAUUGGUGGAGGAGUUGGGGGUGGUGCUGGAGGUGGAAUUGGCAAAGGUGGAGGCAUUGGAGGUGGCGUAGGCGGAGGUGCCGGUGGUGGUGUAGGAGGAGGAAUUGGCAAAGGUGGUGGUAUUGGUGGUGGUGCAGGAGGAGGAGUUGGUGCUGGCAUUGGUGGAGGAGCCGGUGGUGGUGGAGGAGGAGUUGGUGGUGGCGUCGGAGGAGGUGUCGGUGGUGGUGCAGGAGGAGGAGUUGGUGCUGGCAUUGGUGGAGGUGCCGGUGGUGGUGGUGGUGGUGGAGGAGGAGUUGGUGGUGGCGUCGGAGGAGGUGCCGGUGGUGGUGGUGGUGGAGGAGGAGGAGGAGGGGGAGGAGUUGGUGGUGGCGUCGGAGGAGGUGUUGGUGGUGGUGCAGGAGGAGGAGUUGGUGGUGGCAUCGGAGGUGGCGGUGGCGGUGGAGGUGGAGGAGGAGGAGGAGUUGGUGGUGGCAUUGGCGGAGGUGUUGGUGGUGGUGUAGGAGGAGGAAUUGGCAAAGGUGGCGGCAUCGGAUUUGGUGGUGGUGGUGGCGGAGGAGGAGGAAUCGGUGGCAUUGGAGGAGGUGCCGGUGGUGGAUUUGGAGGCGGAUUUGGUGUAGGAGGUAGUUUAGGUGCAGGUAUCGGAGGUGGUUUUGGUGGAGGAGGUGGUGGUGGAAUUGGAGGAGGUUACUAAAUAUCCUUAAACACCAAAUUAAGCUGCUGCAUUGUUAUUAUUAUCAUUCUAUUUUCAGAAUUGUAAUUCAUUAAUAUUACAUGUAAUGAACUGAAAUUCCUACAUCAAUUCUAUUCAUUAUUAAAUGGAUACUAUGUAAUAUUAUUUUCCUUUAUAAAGACCCUAAUUAACAAUAUCCAUCAAAUUUAUGAAACUGAAAUAUACAAUAUUUAAUGUGCAAGAAAUUAAACAUGAGGCAAAAAUGAACAUAAACUAUAUUAUAUAGCAAAAAAUAGCUAAUAAUAUACACUAUGAACAUAGAGUAUCUUUUAAUAAAAUCUGUAUAAAUUGUUGAAUUUUCUUAACACAAUUUUGAUAUUUCUUUUUUAAAAAAGUAAAAAAAAUAUAACACCUAUAAUUCAAAUUCUCAACCGCAAAAUCUAAUUUUUGAGUCACCAUUGGCGUUUGGCAUUGCACAAUAAAAGUUCUACUACCAAAGACAAAGAGAUUCAAUAAUAUUUUAUGAUUAUUUUUAACUCGAUGUAUAAUAUCCAAAAUUCAUUUUCUAAAAAAAGAUAACUUAAUAAAUAUUUCAUUUGAAUUGGCUCGAAAAUAAUCAAAAGAAAGAGAUAAUAGCCAAAAUUAUAUUUGAAUAAUCUACGAAUUUCAUAUCUAAUUAGUAUCAUUUUGUUCUCUUUUCAACUUUUUCAACCUGAAUUAAGUUUUAAUGCAUAGAUAAUGAAGUUCAGAAAUGAGAAAAGAACAAUUAAUAUCUAGAGGAUAAAAUUCACCAAAUAAUAAUAAUAACUCAAAUGUGAGUUUUAUUAUAAUCCUUAUAAGAAAAAAAAAUACGUAUAAAGUGAGUUAAGAAAUAUGAAAUCUCACGUCUAAUAAACAUCAAAUAAUUUCUUUCCAUACUUUAAUAAAUAGAAUUACGUGAUAAUUAUAUUAACAGAUAAAAUUAAUUGUAUUGCUCGUAGACGUAGACGAUCACACGAGAUACCGUGAUUAUAAAAGUAAAAAAAAAAAGGUUAGAGCCCUAAAACCCCUUUUAAACCCUUUACAUUUCUAGGACUGUGGAGUUCCCAUUUUCAUUGCAAACAAAAUCUCUGUUAUCAAAAGGUAAAAUUACUAAUACAAAAUUCUAUCUUCUGUAAAUCCCUUUUAAUUCAUACCUCUCCAUGUAUUCAAAAAAUGGUAGAAAUUAACAAAUAAUUUUUUUUUUUAAAUAAAAAAGAGAGAAAAGAUUACAGCUUUUCUUCUCCUUCAAUUUGGGGUUGUUUGUUCUUGUUGUUCUUUUUUUUUUUUUUUGUGGUUAAUGGUUAGUAUAUUGAAGCAGUAAAUUGUGGUUGGUUUCAGAUUUUAACUAAUAUAUUCAAGAUUGCUUCUUUUUCUGUUUUUUUUUUAAGAAUCAAGAAUGUAAGUGAACAUGUUAAAAAUUUGUUCUUUUUUCCAGGUUAUUGUCAUUUUGUGCAAAAGGGGGGUGUUUUUCUAAUCUAUAAGAGUUGUUCUGGUGAUUUAUUGAGUUGGAAAAUGCCGGAUAUUGAGAGACUUGUGAAUGAUUUUGUUGCAAAGCUCAGCAAACGGUUAGUACUGCAGUUAUAGGAAUUAUCUGGAAGUAUCACUUGUUUGAUUUGAUUGGCUAAUAUGGUUAUCUGCUUUUCUGUUUUUGAAUGAUAGUAAGGUUGAAGGUUCACAAGCAACUUCGCGGCUAACAGCAGAGUUGCUUCGUUCUGUAGUUUCGUUGCAGAGAUUGCCACCUACUAACUCAGCUGCAGUGCUCAUUGAGGCUGUGAGAGGUAUAGGUGUUAAAUUGGUUGCUGCCAACCCCGUUGGUAAGCGUUUUAUCCGCUAAUACAUGAAUGAGGAUCUGCUUGUAGUUAUUUUGAUGUUCUAGAAUGGAAUUUAUUUUUUGAAGUAGUUAAUGAGUUAUUCAAUCCUGGUUAGUAGUGGGAAAUUUGGAUGCUGGAGAUGUUUUUUAAGCAUAUAGUUUGGGACAGGACAUUUGUCUCUGUUAUGCAAUCUUCUUGUGUUCCAAAUGAAUUCAAUGAUAUAUUUGCUUCGUGUCUAGUUUGAUACCAGUUGCUUCACUUGCUCGAAAUAUAGAAAAAUUUGGAUAUAUCUGAUUAACUAGUUGUGUUAACUUUGUUUACUAGUCAUGUGUAGGAGUAGGACUUAUUUGAUCUAUGGUUUAGUGUAAGUCAUUAACUGCAGCUGCCGCUCCAUUUGUUUGUUUCAUUUUUGAACUCGAAUUCUGCUAACAUGUAGUGCUAUACAUUUUUUUUGUUGAACUGGUAACACCUUCGUAUUAAAAUCAUAAAAAGGCUGUGAAAGCCAUAAUUAAGGAGAAAGUGAAGCAAAAUAUAAACUGUGAGUUCCCAGUGAAAUGAUUUGAGUGUGUUGAGGAAUUCAGUGAAUCCGUCUACCUCCCAAUCAUUUAGGAGUCUCCUGAAACUGAAGUUCCAGCCUUGAUUGCUCCAAACUUCACUAAUGUUAACCCUUUGUUGUUGAUUUAAAAUGAAAACAUACGGAUAUAAGAGUUUGAAAGAGCUAUCUCCUAUACAGUUGUCCUCCCAAAAGGAUGUUUCAAGCCGAUUACCAAUUUUUAGUGCUUAUCUUGCUGCUGAAAAUUUGCCAGAGAUUUCUGAUAGUCUUCUGGACACUGACCCCGUACACAAUGUUGACUGAUUUUGUCUUCUAUGGUCUUCAUCUCCGUAUUUGAUCACCUUCUUCUACAAAGAUUGAUCUUUGUUGGAGUAUCUCCAUAAUCUCUUUAUGAGCAGACUUUAGUUCUGCUUUCAAAGUUUUUUUAUACCUACUCCUCCUUGCUUUUUAACGAGGGUAAGAGUUUUCCACUUCACAAGGUGGAAGCCUCUUCUUCCCUUGCCAUAAAAGUUUCCUUGUUACUCUCCUCCCUCUGUCAAAGCUAAGACAUAUACAUCUGCUAUGAUAGCAUUUGCACACAUGCACAUAUAGGGAGAGGGGGAGAAGAGAGAGAGGUGGUGCCCUAGUUCCGAUUUAUUCCAGCGUGUUGGGUGUCCUUCUGCACAUUUUCUUUGGCAUGAACCCCAUUUCUCAUUAUUUGUCAGUCCACUUACUAAAGGAUGUGUACAUAUAUGUAAAAGGGCUCGGUGCACGAACAUCCUGCGUCCACGCAGGGUCCGGGAAAUGUCACAUCUGAAGGUGUAGUGUAGGAAGCUAUCUUGAUGCAAGCAUCCGUCACUAAUUUCACUGCUUGAACCCAUUGAUUUCAAUGCAAGGAUUGUCAACAGACUUCACAUUGAGAACUUAUAGUAAAUUAAUGACCUCUGAAUUCUGAUAGCACUCUAGAUUAAGUAAUCAUAUUUGUUUAUGCCAAGAAUGAUAUGACCAAAAUUUGAUGAAAUUGCAGAGCUUGCUGUUGGAAAUAUUGUUAGGCGUGUUCUUCAUAUUAUCCGGGAGGAGGAUCUUUCUCUUUUGACCAGUAAAACAAGCGACUUAGAUUUAUCAGCUGCAAGUGAUGAUGAACGAACCAUAGACCAGGAUUAUGACCCAACUCAGUCUGCUGCCGCAGCUGCAGCUAAAAGUUUUCUACGGCCUCCUUCAUUGCAUGCACUUCUGGAGAAUAUGUUGGAUAAAGCUGUACCGACUAACAAUUACACCUCCUCUUCAGGUGGAGAUACUGAAGAGAAAAGUAAAGGUAAACGCUCCUGUGCACAUGAAUUUGAAGCAAUCUAGUCAUUUUUUAGUUUCAGUACUGAAUUAUCUGUUAUUCUGUGCUGUAGCUGAUAAACUUGCCAGGACUCGGAAGUUAAAGCAUGAUGUUAUUGAGGCAAUUAACAUAUUAAUUGAAGAUAUUGAUACUUGUCAUGAGCUGAUCGCGGAACAGGCAGUUGAGCAUAUUCACCAAAAGUAUUUACCUUUCGCACGUACUGGAAAAUAUGUCUUUAUUUUGUUAUGCACACUACAGAUUUCAAGUAACAUUGUAGCAUGAUUUGAACACAUGCAAUGGAUAUUGUCAUUUCACUGUUCCCCAUUGUUUGUUGUUCAAGGGGAUUCCCUUUGCAGUUCAAAAAAAUUGUGAUAGGUUACUCAGGACUCACAGCUUGGGUGCGAGGAAAAUGCCACUUCCCUUGAUGGAUAGACAUUUUAUCUGAUAAAUUAACACAUUUUGUUAAUCAAUGACAAAUCUACUGUUCCAACCUUGCUGUGAAAAUGACAAAGAUAAGCUUGUAGCUUAAUUUGCAGUUGCUGUCCUUCUUUACAUUGCUCCGGGGUGAUAUAGUUACGAUUAUAAUUGUAAUGCAAAUGCUUUUUUUUGUUUUAACUUUCACCUCUAAUUUAUUUAUUUGUUCUUUUUCACUCACUUUUGUGGGCAUAUAGCUGCAUAGUUGUGGCGAAUGUAUUUUUUCAAAUCAAAAUGCUAUAGCUAAUUAAAAAAUGCAAUUUUUUCAGUGAAGUAAUACUAACACUAGGUAGUUCGAGAACUGCCUUUGAAUUCCUCUGUGCUGCAAAAGAGAAAAAACGGUCUUUUCAUGUGGUUGUUGCAGAGGGCGCACCGAGGUUUGUGGAGUAUUCUCUAAUUUCCGGGAAAUAAAUGAAACAUGAACCUUCUUUUUCAUUGUAACUAAAAUAUAUCCCCUCUUUGUUUGUGCUUGAUCAGGUACCAGGGGCAUGCUCUUGCAAAAGAGUUGGUGUCAAGAGGUCUACAAACUAUAGUUGUAACAGAUUCUGCUGUUUUUGCAAUGAUUUCUAGAGUAAAUAUGGUAACUUUCUGGAUUGGCUCUUUUAUGUGUAGUACCAAUCUGUAACCUUGUUCUGCUGCUUCGGCUACCUGUGCUCAGAACCGUAACCUUGUUCUGUAGGUUAUAGUGGGAGUUCAUGCAGUGAUGGCCAAUGGUGGUGUCAUUGCACCUGUUGGAAUGAAUAUGGUUGCACUUGCCGCUCAAAAGCAUGCUGUUCCAUUUGUCGUAGUUGCUGGCAUUCACAAGGUAUCUGAGCUUUAUUAUCUCUACAUAUUACUCCCUCCAUUUAAAUUUGUUUGUCUUAGUUUCCUUCUUAGUUUGUUUCAAAACGAAUUCCUCUUUCCUUUCUUGGCAACUUCUUGAUUCGAACUUUCCACAUGACAUAUUUAAGGACACGAAGUUGAAGGGCAUUUUGGUACAUUCCAAAGUCUUCUUUACUUUCUUAGGGAGUUCUUUUUUCCUUACCCAUCCCCAUGACACCCACCCUUUUGCUCCUUUGGUGACUCAAACCCACAAUCUUAGGGUUGGAGGUGAGAGGGGCUUACCAUCCAUGCAACUCCUGAGUCUGCAAUGGAGGGACUAACUAUCAAAAAGGUAUUAUUAAGGUGGGUGGGCGGAGGUGGGGGUGGGGGGGUGGAGAGAGAGAGGUCAUGAGAACUAUCAACUUGUACAGUCCAAACCGUUUAAGUGGCUAUUCUCUCAGCUCUUACUAUUGGCGAUUUUUAUACAUCUUGCUGAUUAUCAUUCUCAAUUUAGAAGGCUCUGAUAACAUGAGAAGAACUCAGCUUUUCAGGUUUACUAUGAUGUUCAGAACCUUUAAAAAUGGUGUAUAAUGUUGAUGUAAGGCUUUGCAGAUCCUUGAAUCCAUUUUGAGUUGACCAUAAAGUUAUCCUUUUUACACUUGCCACUUCAGCAGCAAACUCUUUUUCUACUUUUUCUUGCAGUUAUCAUUAGUUAGUCCGUUUAACUAUUUUCUUUCUGCUACAGUUGUGCCCUUCUUAUCCACACAAUCCAGAGGUUUGUCUGAAUGACAUGCGAUCCCCUGCUGAACUUCUCGAAUUCGGGCUAUUUUCAAACUGCAUGGAAUUUGGAAUGGAUAGUGGGGCUCCUCUUCAAGUUGUCAACCCUGGUUUUGAUUAUGUGGCACCCGAGCUUGUCAGCCUUCUCAUCACCGACAUGUGAGGAUUCUUUACCAUUUUCAACUUUUUAUUCGUCUUUGCAACAACGAUGUCUCAAUCCCGAGCUAAUUUUGGCUUGCACAUAACAAAGCAGCGUGGAUAAUACAGUUCUACAUUGUAUCCUCUACUAAUAUACGGGAAUCUUUUAUUUUGUUAUGUUUAGUAUGCACCAUUCAGUAUGAUGAAGUUCAGUUUACUUUUCAAAGAAAAAGACUACUGCGUUUUAACUCCACCAUAGUUUAUAGUGCAUAAAAUAAACUACUAAAAAAAUCGAGUCAAGGUUUUACAUGCAAAAGUUUGGUGUAUUUGGACUUAGAUAGGCUGAAGGGAGCAACAUGGACCAUGAGGAUUCAUGUAGCCGACCCCACGUUGCUUGGGAUUGAGGUUUAGUGGUUGUUGUGUUUAAGAGGGCGUGCAAUGGGAAUUCGUAAUGUAUUAUUUUGCCACUUUAUGAGUUAAUAAGCAGUUUUAUGAUAAUAAUACUUCUUGCAUCUUUCUGAUUUACAGUGGAGGGCAUAACCCGUCAUAUAUGUAUCGUCUCAUAUCGGACUACUACACAGCUGAUGAUUUUGAUUUGCAAGGGAGGAUACAUAAAUGAAGGUGAUACUUCCUUUAAAUUCUGGUUUUGACUUCGAAAUAAUCUUUCUGAACAUUGAACAUGUUUGUUGGCCAUUUUUAGGAGAAAAAAUUGACUGCUUCAGCAAUUAAAGCUACUUUUAUUAUUUAACCAUGGUUAAAUUGCCAUCCUCUGUACAUAAUGUCAAAUAAAAAUAUAAGAAAAUGAGGAUCUUUUGAUAAAGCGUCGAUAUACACAUCAGAAUCUAUAGCAUAGCAAGAACUAUAAAGAAGGAAAGAAAAGCAAAACAAAGUUUUAUCUCAAUUUCAGACUACUGCACUUCCUGGCCUUGGAUUAACUUGAUUCAGUGCUUAUAUUGGGUGCGAGUAAGUUUUUACCUUCCUGAAAUCAAUCUUUGUUGGCGAGUUACUAUGUAUCUUUAGUCUAUUAGACUCUUACUACGACCACACAAAAACUUUUAUGAUUGUUGCUUUGAUCAGUUUUUUUUGUUUAUGCAGAAAGUAUAUUGAACUCCUUACUGAAUUUAAGCAAUACAUGCUGAUUUCAGGUAUCUUUUGGAGAGCUGUAGUUGACUGAUGAAGAGAAGUGGCAACCAAAAAAUCAAAUGGAACGUGUUUGUUAUCCACUUUGUUGGAUAGCUAUAAAUGAGCUUUUUAGCAUAAACACUUUCUGAACAUUCUGUACUUUGUUCAGACUAUGUUUUGACUUGUUUAAUGUAUUGUAAUGUGUCAAAGGUGGUGAUAUUAGUUUGUUUCGUUCUUGUUAUGGGUGAAUGUUUAGAUGAACUUUACCUCUUGAAUUACAUGUAUCCUCUAUGCAUUUGUCUCUUGAAUGUAAAGGUUAAACGAGUAUCGCGCACACACAAAUAUGGACCUUUGAUUCCCUUUUUUUGGUUGUGCAUAACCACUCUUAAGAAGCUCAUAGAGGGACCAAAAAACACCUUUCGUUUUUCACCCCUAGUCCGCGACUAAGUGGGAAUUAUCUGAACUUCAGAAGCAGUGUCACUAUCACAGGGUUUAUUAGUGAACAGCCUGCAUUUCCAGGCUAAACUGUUCUUUUCUUGAGAUAUGAGAGAAUGAUGUUGAUAUUCAUUGAAAGUAGGUGAUCAAGAUAUGCUUGGAGAGUAAUAUCAUGAAAACAUAUAACUACAAAUCAACAAGCAAUGCCAAAAAAUAAAGUUAUGGUUUUUGAGGGCAUCAAAAUUAGUGUCCAAACAAAUAUGCUAUCAGGUUCCAGGUUCUACUUCUUGCUGAGAUCAAUCCCAGCUUUCUUGGCUACAGCAUCAAGUCCAUUUUUCUCAAUGGUCUUUAUGGCCUUUGUUGACAACCUCAGUUUCACGAAUCGUUUGCCUUCCUCCCACCAAAUUCUCUUGUAUUGAAGGUUUACGAAUUGCAACUUUUUCGUUUUGUGGUUUGAAUGAGAGACCUUGUUUGCCCUGUUGGACUUCUUGCCAGUGAAGGGGCAUACUCUACCUGAAAAAACAGAAUGUAUUCUCUUAAUAUUCUAUACGCUACUUAUCAUAAAGAGGCGCCAAGAUAUUCGAGCACAACCGACAAAAAUGCAGGAAAGCAGGGGGGGAAAGGAAAGAUCAUGAUGAUGUAAGGCAAAGGAUGCUUCACUGGGAAUAUUUGAUUACUCUUGUCCCUAAUUUGUUUUAUUUUACCUAUUAGCUCAAAGGCUUUAAGUAGUUUUGGACUAAAAAAACAAAGGAAUUCAGGAUGCAGUUUGACAAAUGCAGCAACUUAGAAAGGGAGUCAAAGCAAGCAAGAGUGUCAGUGAUAUAGUGCUCCUAAUGACUCUCAUAAUGUGCUUUCUGAUUAGUAAACUAAAGCUUCAUCAGUGAUCUAAAAGCCAAAUACUCUGCCAUUACUGGAUUUCACAAAAGGUAAGUCAACCCUUUACAAUUUGUUGUCAUACAAUGAGAACGAAUUAAACCAAGCUGUUAUCAUCAUAUUCAAAAUAUAAUGUACACCAGAGGGGCGAACACACCGAAGAUUCAAGUUCUGUAGAUUUUUCCUUCCAAAUCUGCAGCUAACACACUCUCUCAGCCUCUCAUUAUUGGUUUCGUCUUCUUUUUAACUAGUUUGGUCACUUGUAAUAAGGACACAGGUGGGUAAAUAAAUAUUAAAAAAUGCAGAAGGUGAAUUUGAGAGGUAAAUGGAUUUACAUAUUCUUGAUAGCGAGAAAUCUACUUUCAUAAGCUUUGAAUCUCAUAAAGCUUUUAUUUCACUAUUAGGCUGCAAGUUUCAUGGAGAGAAGAAUAGGCAGAUGGAAAUCCUGCUCAUUAUCAAGAGAGGUGAAAGCAAGAAAAUGAAGCUCCCUUUAGGCUGCAGUCAGUUUUUAAUGAGACCUAAAAGGCCUCGACAAGAAUUAUAAUAUCUUCUCAUGCAUAUAGUAUUUCUUUUGCAGCUUUGUCUAUGAAUUGCAGCAAAGGAAUGCAAACUUUGUUAACCAAAAAACUGUUGAUACCAUCUAUAUAAGAAAUUUAUCAUGAAAUAAUUUAUAAUUCUUCACUUGGACAAUCUGUUAUGCCUUAAAUAUCGGCAAUCCUUAAGUCAGAGAACAAAGAGCCAAGGAGGAAAAAUUAGGGAUCAUUCAGUAUAUGAAGACAACUAUGGACAAACUUCCAAACUAUAUACCGUAUUUUAUUGAUCUUGUUGUUAUUAAUGCAGUUAACGCGGCAGCUCCCUUUAAUCAAUAUGCUGUAGUCCAUCAAGCUCUUCCCAGUUUGUUAAUUUUGCACAUGGUGAGGUUGUCCUAUCCCUAUUUCUUGCGACUGUAGACAGACUUUUAAACCCCUGGAAUGAUGACACCCCUUUAAUCUCUCCUCUUGAAGUUAUAUAAGAAGUUGUUUAGAUAGUAAACUAUAAUAUGGUUUUUAAUCAUUGAUUAUCAUAUGUAACUUAAUAAUAUGUGAUUAAUGUCAAGUGCUCAGCUUACCAUACCACAGAUUUCAAGAAAACAAUAUAUUUAGUUUGCAAAUUGCAACUGAAUCAAACUUUUUCCAACUUUGGCUAUGUCUUCAGAUCCUCCACAUUGUAAGGGAUAAUUUUCAUCCCAUAUCAGCAAUACUAACUUUCACUUGGUACUAAACAAUCUAACGUAAUGUGCUAUCAACACAAAGCACAUAUCUGAAUUCUAGACACCCGACUACUAAAUGGGGUCUCAGGUAUGGAAUGAGCAAUUAUCUGAGUAACACUCAUGAUGAUUUCGGUCCUGUGACCCUUUGAGUACGGCCACUCCACACACACACAAAUAAAAAGGCUACCUGCACCAAAAUGAUGAUUCAUCGUAUUAACAUUUGAAAGUUAUCAUCUUUCCUUUUUCCCCAUCAAUGUUCAAGAAGAACUUACUAUCCCUACUUCAUGGGUAGAGGGACCGAAGGUGUAUACCAUACAGUAUCCCUUUGCAUGUGAUCCAAUUAAUUGAAAUUCAGAAAGCUGAAAUGUCACCUCUACCAUCAAUAGGUCUACAAAGUUAAUAUUUCCGCCCCUCGAACUCGUAACCUUCAGGUCAGCAAAGGAGCAACCUUGCAAUUGCACCAAGACUCUUUUUUUAUUUUAAAUAAUGGUAAUGUCGGGGUCAGUUUGCACAUACUUCAACAACCAUUACCCUAAGUAACAAGUACUUAACUAAACUUCAAAUUAUCAGAUACAAUUUCCUUUUGACAAUUGUGGUGUAUGGCCAGUAUGCGCACACCUCGACUAAUUCUAAGGUUACCUACUGCCUCCCCACAAGCACAAUUUCUUACACACAAUUCACAAUAUUGUUAAAACCCAACAAUUCACUGAAACAAACAAAACAACAAACAGUUCAUGUGCAUAUUACUAGACCAAAAAAGAAACAACCCCAACAACUAAAAACACAGAGAACACAACAAAAGGGUAGAGAAAUUACGAGCAACAGGUUGAAGGGCUGUCUUGAAAGGAACAGAAAGUGAAGCAGGAGAGCUCAAAUGGGUGCUUGAAAUCUUGAUGCCACUCAAUUGAGAAGUCACAAAACUCAACUCUGAGCUGAAUUUCACCUUGGGUAAAGCCCUUUUGGUCACUGCAAAUGUCCUGUAACCACCCACUACUGGUCCUCUGAGGCUUAUACCCGCUGUGAUUGUCGCCAUUUUUGCAACCAAUUCCUCAAAGCAAGAAUCUUUUUUGUCUCAAGAAUGUUGCUUUUUUUUUUGAAGAAGGAAGUGAAGAGUGGAUAACGAAAUGGAUGUGGGUAAUGAUUUUAUUUGUUGGCCUUCAUAUUUUUUUUUAUUGUUAUUAUAUAUUUAACUUAUUUUUUCCUUUAGUCUAAUAAUAUCAAACGAUUUAAAUAAAAGAAUAAAUAAAUAACAAAAUCUAACUUAUUUGGAAGUAAUAUGUUAUCAUAGUUAUGCUUUAAUUUUAUUUGCAUUACUUGUGUUAUCUUAGUUUAUGCUUUAAUCUUAUUUCCAUUACUUACUCACGUGGAAGUCUAAUAUCACAAACCAAACAAAGAGAGUAUUAAGCCUAUACCAAAAUCAAAUCAUUAUUAAGCCUAUACCAAAAUCAAAUCAUUAUAAUAUUAAGCGUUUUCUCCCUCUUCAGGUUCCACUUAUGAUAAACCAAACAAAUAGACCAAAAUCAAAUCAUUAUAAUAUUGAACGUCUCUACUAUCUUCAAAUCAAUCACACUAUGUUAUGAAUGUCCUUAUCUCUCUAACCAAACAACCCCUAAAAUCUGUUAUCCCAUCAACUGUCCAACUGAGUCAGUGACCAACAUCAUUUAGAACUACAAGCACAAGACAUUAAGGCAAAAUAAUAAGAAGGUAAAUAAAAGAUUUCAAGAAGCCAUAAGAUUGUGCUCCUGUAUAUUGUAAGUAGUAGGUAAACUGUUGCAACUUAAAAACAAAGUUCAUAAUUUUUAGAUGACAUAAUACAAUGGCUCAUUCCUUCAUCCCAUUCUACAUCUGGGAGAAAACAUGUAUUCCGCUUCAAAUCGGGUACGACUCUCGCACUAACAAAAGGGUUAACACCAAGGCAUCUCAAUAAUGGUAAAAAUUGCAAACAAACAUUCAGUUAAGCAUUGUGAAAUCCUAUGUUAACGUCGUUCAAGUUUGGGGAGAUCUGCAUAAGGUUUUGAAUGGGCCAAAAGAAAUUAGUUUUGUUUAGCAAACUUUGUCUGAUAGAGAUCAAGGGGAACAUACUCCACAGUCACUAUUCGGUCGUCAAACAGUCGUCCAUGUAGACAAUGAGCAGCCGUGCAUGCAGCUUCUGCUCUUCUAAACUCCACAAGUACACAGCCCGGAUCAAACACUUCAGUAAUAGGGAUUUCUUCCUUUUUCUCAAGUUCCUCUGGAGCAUCCAACUCUUCUUUCGAUGAGAAUUCUGGUUCAGAAGGUCUAUCGUCUACAUUUCCAUUGUCUUCCUCUGACUUAAUUGCUUCCUUAACUGGUGAGUCAUUGUUUAUCUCAAGAUGCUCCAGUGGACUGGGAUUAGCAUUUUCAUCUUUCCUUUCUGAAACCAUACCAGUACGGGUAACCUCGAGAUUUUCUUGGAAGAUUGUCUCUUGAGCAGAGACACUACUGUCAUCUGGUAGAGGGUCAGAGCUGUCGUCUUUUAUUAGCUCCUCAGAAGGUCUAUCAUCCGAAUGACUGCCACCAGCCAAAGCAUCGUCAUCCCCAGCCUUUUGAGAAUCAUCUUGUGAAGAUUCUGAUAUGUGUGUUUUACUAUCAGCACAUCUUUCAGCUUCCUUAUCACUAUUGGUUUCCAUGGGUUCAUCACUGUUGGGGAAGUGUGGCCUACCAACUUCCAACUCAUGAUCAUCACUGUUGGGGAUGUGUGACCCACCAACUUCCAACUCAUGAUGAUCACUGCUGGGGAAGUGUGGCCCACCAACUUCCAACUCGUGAUCAUCACUCCUAGUGAUCGGAUCAUUUUUGUCACACUCUUCCCCAAAGUCCAUAUUGCUAUCGUUCAAGGUAGAACUAGUAUCCAUAGCAGCAGGAUCAGAUAUGAGAGAACAUUGACUUUGCUUUACAACAUUAAUUGAUUUAAUAGCGCCAAACCUACAGAUCAAAAGAAAACCUUCCAGAUCAGUAAAUAAUUGACAAGGAGAAAAAAAAAAGAAUGACAUUAAGAAAUGCGACUUUUCAUAAAUGACCUGGCACACUCCAAUCUGAUGUCUUCCAGUAAUUCUUCAAGUUCUGCUUCAGACAAAAAACUGAGUACAUUUGCAUCCACCUGGACAGGACACGGUGAUUAGAGGAAAGACUUUAGUAACCCCUUGGUAAGUUUUUUGCAACAUCUAAGAAACAUAACCCCAAUAACAGAGUUUUUAACAAAGAACACCUCCAAAAUAUACCUCAAAGGUCAACUACAUCCUUAAUAUAUCACUGUUAGCAAGUAACAUUGGUAGAGUGUAUAAAAAUAAUGCUAAAUAGAGUGUAUUAGUAAUGCUUGCAUUAGCAAUACAUGUAUUAGUUAUGCUUGCAUUAGUUAUACAUAGAUUAUUUUUAUGCAUUGUUUGAUUUGAUGCAUAAAAAGAUAGCAUGCAUUGCAUAAAAAAAAAAUUAAGUUACAAAGAUACCCUCCACUAUUAUAGCAAAAAAGAUGUAAAAAGGUUUUGAGGGACAAUUGGGUCUUUAAUCAUGCUAAUGCAUGCAUUAAAACCAUUGCAUUGCUAAUACCUAGAAAUACAUGGCAUUAGCAAUACACACCUUAAUACACAGAGUGUAACUAAUGCAAGCAUUAGUUAUACGUAGGUUGAAAAAGAGUAUCAAACAAGGUACUAGUAAUACACAGGGCUAAUGCAUGCAUUAUUUUUCCUAAUACACGCUACCAAACGACCCCUUAAAGUAUCAAAAAGUUAACAAGUUCAGUUCAAAGGUAGUUUUCAUGUCUAAAACUAACAGUGAAGCCAAGCAUACACAUAUACUAGUGACGAAAAAAGAAACAAAAUUGAGAAAGAAAAAGUGGUCGUGAUCCCAUAGUCUUCUUCUUCUGCAAAUUAGGCGUCCCACCAAGCAUUAUUUUUCUCUAUACCCAGUGAAAUUCUUCAAGAGUUUGCACGUACUGGGUAUUCUUCAGUGUUGGCUUGCUGCAAGUGUACUCCCUAAGUAUUAAAUUGCAUUUCUUGGUGGGUUUGGUUUUAACCUAGCCCAAGUUUAUUGAUUUCACAGGUUAUAAACCAAAUCAGUCACGGGGAAAAAGAAGACCAAACCAGGUAAGAUGUCUUUGUUUUAAUAUUUCAAAAGUUGUCCAAUUCCUCAUUAACAAAAAGAAAAUUUCUCGUAUCUUGAGGCAGAAACUUUAAAAGAGUACAGAAUAAUAUGAAACAAACUAUUGAACUCUAUAGACAAAGUGCAGUGCCUCUCUUUGCUUUCGAGUGCCUGGUUAUCUUCAAAAAUACAUUCCCUUUGUUAAAUAACGAAGUUCAGAGAAUAUACAAAGCAGGUUUUUGCCUAAUUCUAAAUUCCAAGCCAACACUUAUUAUAUUUUUCUUUGUUUUUCACCCAAAACAGAACCUCUUAAACAAGCCUUAAUAUUGAUUUGGAAGGAUGAUCAAAGGUAAGAAAAGUUGAACAUGGAGUUGAAAAAAACAACAGAUUUGCAUAUAGGCAACCGACCGACGUAUACAAACUAAAAAAAUAAGCAACUAAAAAAGCUAGUGGGUUGACGAAUCCAAAGCAACUUGGGGACGAAACAACAAUGUGUUUCAUGAAUCCAAGCUUCUUGACUUUUUUUUGGGUAACGUGUAAUGCGUUUGCUUGGCUUUUCACUGUUAGUUUAGACAAAACACUAACUUUGCACUAAACAUGUUUACUUUAUGAUGCAUUAAGGAUGUUGCUUGUUAAUCAAUGUCAUAUUAAGGAUGUAGUUGACCUUUGGGGCAUAAUCCAAGGAUUUUUAUCAUUAAAAACUCUAGAAAACAACCACGCAUCAGACCCAAGCAAGUUGGGCUCAACUAUCUGAAUAUUAUAAAAGUUUAAGCUCCUCUAGUACAAUAUUAUAAAGUAGAAUUUCUCUAGCACUAGAGAUUCUCUACAAUUUCUACUAGCAUCUACAUUUUUUACUGGCAUAACAAGCAGAAUAUUUAUUUGAUGAAAAUGAACUUGACGUCACAAAAAUAAUGAAUACAUACCACAUUUUUCAGCUUUAGAACUUCCGUGUGCUUCUCCAACAGUGGCUUUGCAUGCUGCGGAAUCCGGUAUAAAGGUGUAUUUUCAUCUUUGUCCUGAGUAUUAUGUGUAUCUUUUGGUCAAACUCAAAGAUUAAAAAAUGUACCUAAAGCCAAAGUAAUCAGGAUAAGAGGACUUGAGAUAAGUACCAGUAAAGCAGUAUCUGGGACAGCCCGAACAACAGUCAACACUUUCCCACCCAACUUCAUACCAUUAAGACCAGCGCAAGCUUUAAGAGUAACUGAAUGGUCAACAUACUGAAAUGGUUGAAAUAAUUACUUUAAGAUCAAUGAAAGACGCAAGAGGAACUUGAACUUAAAGAAGACUUGAGAGUUCAGCACUUGAUUCAUGGAGAAAUACAAGGGACCGAGAGGCUCAUUAUGUAACAAACAAAGGUAUCUAGCUGAUAAGUUUACUGUUGAAGCGAUAGUGUCGCAUAAUCUAAAGCAUGGUAAAAAACUAUUAUAAAAGGAAUACUCUACCUGCGAAGAAAAUUAAGUCAAGCAUAUGUGAAACUUAAGUGUGGCAAGCUACUUUUGGCACUAAAGAGUUCCACUGGAGAAUUGACACAAUCACCAGUACAAACAGGGUUAUUUAUUCUCAACCAUUAAAAGGGAUGAAGAGGGCUUGCGAAAUGCUCUGCAGAUCAUUGAGAAGGAAGGAUAUUAAAGAGUUUGAAGGCUAGAAAAUCUAAUAUGAAUAGUUAAGAGCUCCUCUUCCUUCUGAUUUAUUUCCAUCUGAAAGAUGAUAUCUUUUUGGUAUUGGCUCACAUUAAUAGAAUUGAUGUGGAAGCUCACAUAAGGAUCUGAAGCAGUAUUGGUUGUUCUAGAGCAAUCAUUUGACAAAUGUGUAGAGUUUUGGCAUGUCUUUCUAAAAAGAAACGUUUACUUGUCCUACCUUAGAGAAGCAAAGUAGUAGAAUGAGAAGAUAAAAUUUACAACACAAAAAGAGUUCCAAGAGGACAGAAAGCCGCUGCCUGAAAAAAAUGAUAAUAGUGCCUUUUUAAGGUAUAUUUUAUUAUUAAAAUAAAGGUAAAGUUUUGUCAAUACAUAGUAGUAAGAAGGUGCAUGAUACAUCCCCUUUCUAAGCCAAGCACACAACCACAUCGUCUAUCAAGCCAACAGGUACAAAGUCAUAAACAAUCUUUCCUUGGACAAUUUCUACAAUGAUUUGCAUACAUGUCUAUGAUUCAACUUUAUCUCUCCCAUGCUCUUUACAUGCUUAAAGUGGUAAAUCUAUUUGUUUGGCGCGACGGACCAACUCUGUUUUAAACAUGUAAAAAUAAAUACUUUUUCUUCAUUCACCCUUCAACCCAGAAAAGAUUGUUGAAGAGGAAAAUGAUUUAACUUCUAGUAAAACGACAAUUUGCUCAUUUUUUCUACACUUGGUACUUCCAGUAAUUCACUAGACUGAAAAAUAAUCUUAGCCAGCAAAAUACAAUAUGUUUAAGACUGUUUGUUGCAUAAAAGCUACCUUUGAACCAGAAGGAAAGUGCAUUUCUGUAAAGAAAAGGAUGCUUCAUUUAAUAUGAGAAAGGUAUAUACUAUAAUCCAAGAGUACCUCAAGAAAUGCACAAGGUUCAUUGAGAUCUGAAUUCAUCCUGAAAUGGUAAGCUUUCAAAGGUCCAAAGGCUUUAGCAAUCUCCAUAAGCUGAAAUAGCAUCAGGUAAGAUACAAAUCACAAGAGAGUGUGAUAUUCCAUUGUUCCUUCUUUUUAAUUAAGGAAAGGUUUCAAGACAUUUUUCAGUCUUACCAUCUCUGAUGAAAUAGUUCUUGAAAUUCCACCAACAAAAAUCUGCAAGACAUAUUAAACAAAAGUGUUAUGUAAGGGGAAAGGGAACCACAGGACUGGAACGGACUUGAAAUAUAUGGGAAACAUUAUAUAGAAGCAUUCGAUGACAAACAGACAACAAGUGAAAUACUGUAUGAUCAGAUUCCAAAGAAGUCCUUGUGGAAGCCAAAUUAAAAAAAAAAACAUAUUCUGAAGGUCACAAAUGUGACUCGUCAGGGAGUUAAGGCAACACCAACAAAGAAGAAAAGCAAUUCAUAUGUGACGUCCUCACAAUCCCACAGGUUCAAAUGAGGAAUUCUGUAUCUCAUCUUAACAGUGAGGGAACAUUCAUACAUCAACAUCUAAAGAAAAUCGAAAACAUACAUCAUAAUCCGUAACCUCACUGUCCAACAUAUAAUUGACCUACAUGAAUUCAUGUAUUGCAGUAGCGUAGAGCAGCUGUUGAUGAGUUUACUCGACAGAUGGAACAUUGCUUUCUGUGUAUACGAGUACAUACAUAAAAGUGCAGCACAUGAAGAAAUUAUAGGUCUCAAUUCUCAAAUAUGUUGUCCUAUUUCAAUCAGAUCAAGUGUUGAUAUUAGUUAUUACGCCAAGCUGCUGCCAUAUUUACAUCUUUUUCAUACUACAUUUUAAAAUCAUCUUGAGAAACUGUUUCUUAUUUAUGCUACCCAAAAAAAAAAUGCAAACAAAAGAAAACACAAUUAAGGCUAUUAGCUCCCCUCAAAAGUACUCCCAUUCCUUUCUCAAACUAAAAGCUAAAAUACAUGUAACAUUUUAAAAUACCUAAGAAGUUCUUUUACAACUAUAAUAAACAGAGCUCAAACUCUUGAACGGAAAUUCUAAAUAUUCAGUAAAGCAACUUUUCAACUUUUAAGAAGUCCUGCUAAAUCUGAUUAGACUGAAUUAACUGAAACGGACAAGACAGGUACUUCUAGCAAGAAUAAAUAGGAGAUUUGUACUUUAUCACAAGAAGUAAAGAUUGAUGGAUAUUGCAAGUACAAGGACAACACAUACAAGUGACUGUUGCAUCCAGUUCUGACAGGCAGGACUGAAGGUCAAUCUCAAAUCAUUUGUGUUGUUUCAGAUGCAUACCUUAUAAGAAGAAUCCUCUACAGUGUUAUCUAUCCUAUCAGCAGCAGCGACUGACUUCUGAGGAACACCAGUCUGCACGAAAAUAGCAACUGUCUGAAAACCUGCUACAUGAAUAAUGACCACAGUAUACCUCAGAAACUGAAUACAAGAGCAGAAUAAAUCACAGUUUCAACAUAAAGAGGUAGCACCACCUUCCUACGGCUUAAAUACACAUUUUAAUGCAUUGUCAAAUUGUAGAAAAUACAGAGCAACAAAUGUUCUACAUUAACGAAACUCCCCUACCAUAAUGUCCAUACUUUACUAUUUUACUUCAUUUGAUAUAAUUCAACUAUAUUCUCCCUCCAUAUAUGCAGUGAAAUCCACCGUCCUCAUUAGCAAGCACCAUCGUCAUCCUCCAACAUCCAAUUAAACAGAUGAUCAAGUGAGUUAGCAUCCUUUGUGCUGAGAUAUGAGCUAAAGGGUAUUGAGGGUACUAUAAGAGAAGAUCAGAAGGACUUCAUAUUAAUACAUCCUAAACAUAGGAUAUACCAAAAUCUCGGUGCCUAUAUUGUUGCUAACAACAACUAAGGGACUCUAUGAAAUUUGUAUCAAGUCAGAGGUUAUCUUCCACACUGAACAGUCCUUCAAGCAUUGAGGACAAGUCCAACCUCUCCAUGCAUCCUACUCAUUGACUACAUAAAGAUCUUGACUUCUAUUUCUGAUAAAGAUGGACAACUUGAUUUUUACCUGCAAGAACACAUUUUACUGGGGACUUCUGUUUGUUGCCUGUCUAUUUAAUCUUUAAUCAUAGGUCAAGAAUGGAUUUAGAGUAAUCUGUAUUAAGGGGGAAAGAGCAGCUAAGACAGUCAUACUUAGCAUCCCUUCCACAACAAAAGACAAAAUUCAUACAACAAUCAAACUCCAAAAGGCAUAUAUAGAACGGAAGGAAAGGCAGAAGAAAAUCAGAUUCAUUUUAACUAAGAACACAAUCUUUUUAACCCACGACAAUCCUUAUUUGUACCCCCACUUAGACCUGCUCAUUAAGAUGAUAAAAUAAGCACACCACUCAUUUCAUAUGAAGGGGUGCUUCGGUUUAAAAUGUGUAUCGUUUUUCACAUCCUCGUAUGAAGAUUACAAUUGAAAGAAAAAAAAAUUGUUUCCUCCCUUUAUCUAAGGGUUUUCAAGAAAAUUAGUAACCAUGACCAAACUUUCUUCAGCAAUGUCUAUAUCAGUGGACACCAGAAUAUACUGAUUGUUACAUAUAAUGAUGAAUACCGGAAUUUACUCAUUGUUACAUAUAAUGAUCAAUAAGAAUUGGCAUCAAAACUUCAAUUCAAGCCGCUUUUAGCACAAAACUGACAACCAAAUCUUAACUCAAACCUCUUUGACCCAAUUCAAUUUUGGCCCUAGUGGUAUCCAGUACUUUCCUUUUUGGAAUCACUUUGAACCUGCACAGAUUUUAACCCAACUACCCAAACGAUAAUGAGGACACUUCUUAACCGACACUGAAAUAUAGAUAAACUGCGUAUUGCAUAACUAUAACAUGUUACAUAAGUUAAUAUGCAAAAUCCCAUCAACUUCUCACACAUUUAAUACAAUAAUAGUAAGAGAAGAGCAAAAAAAGUUCAGUCUGAAAGAUAAGCACAAUCUACAAAGAGUCUCAUAGUUAUAAUUCUUACAGCCACUUCCACGAAGUCUUUUGGGCGUCUGAUUUUAAGAAUAGAACCAGAGAAAGAUCUUCCAUCAAAAGAUAGUGCAGCAGAAGCAUCUUCGGGCGUUAAAAAUUCUAAAAGAGCUUGACACUUCUCCUUGUGUAUCUGCAGUGUAGAAACAGUAAGCAACAGAAAUCUCCAUCCGGCUUAGAACAAGAAUAGAAGAAGAAAACAUACCAUACAGCUGAUACAUGGUUGGGUUCCUUGAAUGCGAUUAACUCCUGAAGACAUCAAGAAAUUAUUAAUCCAGUCCAGAAUCUCUUUCUCAGAGGCAGAGUUUGGCAAGUUCUCUACAUAAAGCCUUCUCAUAGGUCGUGUGGCUUGUGUCAGCUGGACGGAAUCAAUUGCAUGUACAGAUGACGUUAAGUAACUAUAUGAAACACCGGCGGCCAUUGUUGUGUAUGAACUAGCAGGAAUCAUGCUAGAGAACUGGUGUGUAUUUGGUAUUACAGGCUGCAUUGAAGACUUAACACUAGAAGGAACAGAACCAGUAACACUGAUACCACCUGAUGCAGGCGGUAGAUCCCACCAAGCAGCUUUUCGUUCUGGAGAGCGGUUAGUUGGGGGAGGAGUUUUAGCAGCAGCCUCUGAUUUCCUCUUUCUUGGUGAAUAACCACCAAGACCACUUGUAGAUCCUUCAUGGCGGUUGGAAUGGCUAUCUGAACCAUUGCUGGAUAUCUUUUUAUCCAGAUCAUAAUGUGAUCUUCCAGAUUUAUCUUUGGAAGAAUGAGAGGAAAACUCACCACGCUCUCUGAGAUCAUGAUCUGAAUGCUUACGUCCUCUCGGUGAACCAGAACGAGACCUUCUACCCCGAUCUCUAUCAUUCUCUCGACUUCUUGACCUUCUUCUCUUUGGUCUUUCUUCCUCUAGAUGAGCCCGAGAAGCUUCCACUCUUCCAGUGAUUUCAGAAACUUUCACUGAACUGUGUUUUUUAUCGGCAUUCUUCUCUCUAUUUCUCUCCUCCUCAUCACUUUUCCUUCUAACUGAUUCAGACUUUUCUUUAGUUCUGUCAGCAUAACUAUCUCUCCGCCCGUGAUUUCUUAAAUGCCUUUUCUCAGCCUCAUUCAGAAGAGCACCGUUU